GCCACUCCUCCUCCUUUCUUGUCUGGUCUGUUUCUCUGAAAUAGAUUGUAUCCCUCCAUUAUUACAUUCCAAUCGUGGGACUUAUCCCACCAGGUUUCAGUGAUGCCUAUUAUGUCAUAUUUAGUUUGCUGUACCAAGAGCUCAAGCUCAUCUUGUUUAUUUCCCAUGCUUUGCGCAUUACUGUACAGACAUUGAAGUCCAUUAAUCAUUCCCCCGUGUCUCUUAUUUAAGGAUUUUUUCCUCCCACCACUAGGUCUGCGUGCUGUUUGCAACAAUGAAAGAUGGAGCAAGCUUGCUUUCUCUUGCUAUGGAGGGUAGGACCUGAACCAAUGGGUUCAAAUUACAAGAAAAGAGUAGUCUGUCCUUCACUGGAGGUUUUAAAGCAGGGGCUGUUGUGGAUGCUUUAGUUGAGAUUUCUGCAUUGCAGGGGGUUGGACUAGAUGACCCUCGUGGUUCCUUUGCAGUUCCAUGAUUCUAUAAUAUCUGUAUAUGAUCUUUACUUCCAGCCUCUAUUGGUCUCAGAAGUAAGCCCAUGUGUACAGCUGAUGCAAAUGCACCCACAUUCUAAUUCUCAUACAAACACCAAUGAUGUGGAAUAGGGAUGCACACACCAUCUGUGGUUACUCUUUACUGGAUUGAGUCACUUGUCCAUAAGCACUGUGAUUAGGAACUACUGAACUAACCAUAGCAGUGGUUACAGCACAUAGGCUGCAGCUUUGAGGUUUAAAACACCAGUUGGAAAGCUUGAUAAGCACAUUUAAAAUAACUGAAAAUACUUUUAUAAGAAAGACAGUUGCAUAAAGGUAAAAGAAGGGGGCUGCAAGUGGCCUAGUAAAUUGUGAAUUCAUGGUGAACAAAUGUGCUGAAUUUUUUAUGAGGUGUAUAAAUAAUUAGUAACAUGCAUGUGCAUUAGUCUCUCUCUCUCCCACCAACCUGCAUCUCUUACUUGAUUGCACUUUAUUCCAGCACCCUCUUGCAUUUCAGAAAUACACGCAACCAAGGUUUUUUUUUGGUGUUUUUGUAAAAAAAGCUCAACAAUUUUGGGGUGUCCUGGUUUUUACUUUUUCAAAUAUGGCAACUCUACUUUUGCUAAAGUGCAUGGGCAGAGUCAGCUUCUUCUUCUAUGGCAAUCACUUGUAUUCAAGUAAGAUUGUCUUCCAAUGAACACAAUCUUAGCAGUGAGUCUAUGACUGUGGAGGCCAAUUCUGGAUCCACACACCCUUCCACAGUGGGGACAUAGGUUUCUGGACAGUAGUUGAUCAUGGUUAGGGUUUUCCAAACGUGCCUUCCUCUUAGCACGUUUCUCCCUUUUGUCCUGAGUUUGAGCGUCUUCAAAACCUAUGACUCUUCUCCAACUCGAGCACUCACAGGCCAUUGUUUCCCAAUUGUCGGUAUUUAUGUUACAUUUUUUAGAUUUGCCUUGAGAGAAUCUUUAAACCUCUUUUGUUGACCACCAGCAUUACGCUUUCCAUUUUUAAGUUUGGAAUAGAGUACAGUGGUACCUCAGGUUACAGACGUUUCAGGUUACAGACUCCACUAACCCAGAAAUAGUACCUCAGGUUAAGAACUUUGCUUCAGGAUGAGAACAGAAAUUGCGGGCUUCCUGUUUCUACCCUGUUUUUAAUUCAGGGUAAUUAGCCCUGGCAGACUCCCCAGGUUGGGGGAGGAUUGUCGGAGAAUGCUGACUUGCAUUAAGGUGCAAGCAGCAGGACACUGAGUCGCAGAGCACGGUACGGCUGGCACUCUCCGAUGCCAUUCUCAUAGCCGGGAACAUCUGUUUGAAAAAAUGAAUAGAUUUGGACAAUAAACAGACAUGGACUGGAUCGAAGAAGCUUAAGAAAAAACCUGCAGAAGUACAGUCCCUGGGGUUUAAGCUCGGACUUCAAAAAGAUUCUCAUCAUGGUGUCUGGAUAAUGGAGGUGUUUGGUAUGCCCCCCCCCCCACUUAACAUCUACAAUUGGUUUUCAAUGCCAAGCCUCAUUAAGAACUUAAUUAUUUUUUUAAAAAAGAGUACAGAUGGACUUCUAUUUAGGCAUUUAAUUGUGCAGCUUUAUUUAGGACUUGAAAGACUUGAUAAAGAUGGAAGAGGAGGCAAGAUGGCACUCGCAAAUACGCAGCAUGAAAAAAUAUAUUCCUCCCUUUUUUCGAGGGAAGCAGGAGUUAUGUGCUGACGGAUUUUGCAAUGAUUUGAGAUAACAACUUGGAAUAAUAUAUAGUGCAGCUGUUUGCAGAAGUUUUUUAUAUUCAUUAUGAGCAAGAGAGAAGGCUAAGUGGUGUCUAGCAGCCCUCCCUCUAGGGCCAGGAGGGGGGGGGAGUGCAGUCUCCAAAGGCUGAUCGAUCACCAAAUGACUGAUAUUUGUGGAAUACAGUUUAUCUACAUUGUAAUAUUGCAAACAGUUUUGCCUAACAAUUUAACUUGGAAGGUACUGGUUUAAUAAAGCUCAAAAGGAAGGUUUGGACAAUUAAUGAUUGGGAGUUGCUGUGCCAUUAAACUUCAGAUAACAGACUUGGACAACAUCCUGGAUUGGAAUGGAGUCAGAGGAAGUUGCGCUGAUAAAAAGACAGUUGGAAAAAUAUAUACUAACAAAGCUGUAUUCAACGGAUGAAAGUACAUGAUGUUUGACAUGACUGAGAAUCGUGGACUCAGGGACAGAAAAUUAUAAAGCGUCGAACUUGAGAUGUGGAAAAUAUGGAAACAACGAGGAGAGGCAGGACUGAGAUGUGGAGAUAUGCUUCAGAGAUCCAGACCAUGGGGAGCUCCGAAAAAGUAAUAAUUAUAAUUUGGUUUAUAAUUUGGUCUUUUUUAUUUUAGUUUUUUAUUUUAAUUGGAGUAUUAUGAUUGGAUAUAUUAAUUGGAUGUUUUUUAUUGGAAAAUCAAUAAAAAUGAUUUUAAAAAAGAGAACAGAAAUUGCGCGGCAGUGGUGCAGCAGCAAUGGAAGGCCCCAUUAGCUAAAGUGGUACCUCAGGUUAAGAACAGUUUCAGAUUAAGAACGGACCUCCAAAACGAAUUAAGUUCUUAAGCCGAGAUACCACUGUAGUUGCUUUGGAAGACAAAAAUCAACAUGACCAGUCCAACAAAGUUGAUGUUGAAUAAUCAUUGCUUCAACAUUUGUGAUCUUUGCUUCUUGCAGUACACUGGCACGAGUUCGCCUGUCUUUCCAAGUGAUAUGAUAUCGUGUGGCUGAUUAGCUGCUCUCCCUGUGCAAAGGUCAGAGGGGGCAGGGUUUCUGUUGAGGCAGGUGAUUAGCUGUGGGAGGAGCUUAUCAGAGCUUGCAGGGCAGCAGCUGAAGGAGGAGCAAAAGGGUUUUCUUGUGUGUGUGUUUCUUUGUGGCUGAUUAGCUGCUCUCCCUGUGCAAAGGUCAGAGGGGGCAGGGUUUCCGUUGAGUCAGGUGAUUGAUGGGAAGUUUUCUUUCUGUACAUUCUUUUCUCACCACCCUGGAAUGUUCAGUUCACAUUGAGUUCAUGAAACAUCAUAUCCUGACCUGUUCUUAAAGCAUGGUUGACCACAUCUACUAUCAAUCAUUAGUUAUAGUUUAAGUCUUGCUAUAUCAAUCAUUAGUAAUUGUUUAAUUACAAGGUCUUCACGCCUGUCCAACUCUGUGUUCCUUUUCCCAGCCUUUAAUCUAUUGAUGAUUAACGUCUUAUAUGCAACCCUUGCAAUGUAUUUGUGUUAACCAAUCAGCAACAAGCACAUACGUGGCAAUGCUGUAAUAUUCAAUAAAAGGGACUCCCCGAGACUUGCUCGGGAGAUGCCUCCCAGAUGACACUUGCUAUUCGUCUGUCGUUUAUUUCAACCCAACAUCUGGUGACCCUCGAUGUGCCAGAUCCCUUUACGCAGCCUCCGUACGUCACUCGACUGGAAAAGUCUCAGCGCGCUACUUCGUGAGUAUGGGGGGGGAACUGACAAAGUUCCAACAGGAGCAUGCCAAAGAGCUGCUUCAUCUCGUUAGAUAGCGGGUGGCGGGUGCUCAUAUUUCUUUGAGAGAAAUUGAACAAUUGGGGACUUCCGGGGUGGGGGACUUCCAGGGUGGGGGACUUCCGGGGUGGCGCCAUCGGUAAUGGCGGAUUCCCUCUGACUUGGAGGGAAUCGGCUCUACGGAAAUCGGGUCUGUACCGCUACAGCGCAGCGGAGACCCUUUAAAAAUCACAGGCGGGCGAAGCCUGUGACCGUGGGACUCGGCGGGCACCGUUUGCGCCCCCCCCAAUUGGUAAAGGAGCCCGGCAACGGGCUCCGGAGCAGAGCGGGGAAGUGGCGCGGUGCUGUGAGUCGUCUGCUUCUUCCGUGGAGCGAAGCCGCGCAGCUGUUGCUGGAGAGCGCUGCCUUUUUCCUGGGACAAUUUGGCUGUAAAACAACGAUCCGUGAGUAGGCUAACUUUGGAAUUAAGGGAACUUUACAAAUUUUAUAAAUAAUUCGGCACCGAAGCGGAGAGGUAUAAACAGGAAGUCUGCCUUCCGUUCUUGUAAAUGGAGUAAAGCAAUGAACUUGAAAGUGGAAGCUUUAAAAGACGCUAGUAAAGGAUUAUAAUUCGAGCAUCAAAACAGUGAUUUCCCCCCCUUGAUUGCAGGGGAGGAGGGGGGAGAAGGUCUGAAAGUUAUUUCCCUGCAAAAAAGAGAGUAAGAGGAGCUAAAAUCCACCGCUUAAAACCUUGGACUCGGGCUGUCAAGGGACAUUGAUACUGCCGUACUGGGAAACACGCUGUCAAAAGACAAUGUAACAUUCUGACAGCUAGCUCUGCAAGAGGGAUACUUUGACUUUGAAAAGUCCCACUGAAUUUGAAACUGCUGUUAUUUGCGGCUAAGGGGGGAUCUUUGAAAGUUGGACAGUCAUUUUAUUGUUACAAUUUGGAACUGCUACUGUGUCCCCCUAGAGGAACUUUGAAAUUGCUACAACUGGCCAGGGAAUUUUCCACCUUGAAUUGGCUAGACUAAAGGGAAAUUUUCCACCAUAAACAAGCAAGUGUGGGACUGACCUUGACUCUUAGAUAAAGUGUUAUGGCAGACUUGACUCAGGAAAAAACAACAAGAUCUGGCAAAAUUAGACAGCAGCAGCGUAGACCAUCAGCACCCAGCCUUCCGGCCCCAUCAGGGGAAGAUUUAGCCCAGGUGGCCUCCAAAGGAAUGGCAGCUGAAGGGGGUUUAUCUUCGGCCUUAGAUAAAAUUUUUGAAUCUUUGGAAAAGUUGAGCAAACAAGUGGCUGAAGCGACAACUAAAAUUGAUCAAAAUACAACAAGCAUUAAUAACUUGGGGCAGAAGGUGAACUCAAAUACAGAAUCUAUUGAGAAACUGCUGCAGGAAUCUACUUUGAAUCGAAAAACAGCUGAAGAGGCCAAGCAAAAAGCAUUGGCUGUAGAGGAAAAGAUAGAGGAAAAGAUUCCACCGAUAUGUAAGCAGCUGGAGGACCAUAAGUCAUUGCUGUCUAUGAUUGAAUUGAAAGAAAAACAGACAAAUCUAAGGGUCAGGGCUGUACCUGAACUUGAGAAAGAUAACCUGAGUGACUUUCUUACACAGGAAUUUACUGACUUUUGGGAUUUAGAACCAGACAAACCAGAUUUCAAGAUACUAAGUGCCUUCAGACUUGGAAGAGGGGGGAGAAAGGACAGGGUGAGAGACUGUCUGAUUACCCUCCGAUCAAGAGAGGAGAGAGACAGAAUAUUGAGUUUGCACUUCCAGAAGACCUUGGAAAUAAAGGGAUCAAAAGUGGAGAUAUUUAAGGACAUCCCUAAACAUCUCUUGUAUCUCAGGUCUAACUACGGAGACUUGGUGGCCCUGCUAAGAGCAAAUAGAAUUAUCUUUAGGUGGAAAUUCCCUCAAGGCCUAUCCUUUACUUAUAAAGGGAAAAAGUUCAAAAUAAGACCAGUGGGACAAAAAGAAACAUUUCUGAAAGAUCACGAAGAAGACUUACAAAAAGAAACUGGAAAAGAGCCCAGAGCUUUAAAACCAGGAAUACAGGACAUAGUAUCACUACCUUUGGGGUUGGACAAGCUAGAGAAGGUGAUACCACCAACAGAACAAGAGCAAUUACUUGGUGCAGUCGGAGGAAAAGCAAAAUAAAUACAUCAUGUCUCUGCAACUCUUAAGUUGGAAUAUUCAUGGACUUAAUUCCCCGGAGAAAAGGAAAAAAGUCUUUCAUCUAUUGAAAAAGGAACAAUUGGACCUGAUUUGUUUGCAGGAAACUCAUGUGAUAAGGCUCCAUUGGAAAGUACUGAUUAAUAAAAGAUUGGGUCAGGAAUUUAUUUCAUCGGAUAAUGUCAAAAAGAGAGGAGUUGUAAUUUAUGCGAAAGAGAGCCUAUCGCCUAAAUUUAUUUUUAAAGAUGAUCAAGGAAGAUAUGUGGCAAUUGAAAUUCAAAUACAAGGAGAAAAAUUUCUGAUAGUAGGAGUAUAUGCUCCAAAUGAGGGGAAAUCUGAAUUUUACAAGAAGUUGCAUGUGACAUUGAUGGACUAUAUGGAUUACAACAUUAUAAUGAUGGGAGACAUGAAUGGAGUGGUAUCCACAAAUAUGGACAAGUCUCAGAGACAGGUAGUCACCAAAGAUGGCAGACUACCAAAAACCUUUUUUGAUUUGACUGACAAUAUGGACUUGAUUGACAUUUGGAGAAUAAAGAACCCCCUGGCUAGGGAGGGAACCUUCUUCUCUGAAGCCAAAAUGACAUGGACAAGAAUUGACCAAAUUUGGAUUACUAGAGGACUGGCACCUAAGACUUGAAAAGUGGAAAUUUGCCCUAAAACCUGCUCCGACCAUAAUGCCGUGAAAAUGGAGAUGAAACUAACACCUACCGGCUCCUUCAGAUGGAGGAUGAAUGACACCUUGUUUAGAGAUCAAGAAAUCACCAAGAAGGCCCAAAAAACCUUGAGAGACUAUUUUGAGAUAAAUAUGAACACCACCACUGAAAAAAGAGUAAUCUGGGACGCAAGUAAAGCAGUUAUGAGAGGGUUUCUAAUUCAACAGAAUGCAAUAAAGAAGAGAACCCAAAAUGAGAAAAAAGAUAAAAUCUUGGAAAAAAUAAAAGAGGGGGAGAAGAAACUGAGAACGAAACCCAAAUCACAAGAGAUUCUGAGAGAAAUAAAGUUACACCAAGUUCAAUAUAUGAAGAUGAUGAAUCAGGAAAUAGAAUGGAAAAUUAAACAGAUGAAACAAAGGACAUUUGAAUCGGCUAAUAAAUGUGGAAAACUGCUAGCAUGGCAAAUGAAAAAAAGAUAAAAACUCAACACCAUUACCAACUUGGAAGUGGAAGGAAAGAACAUCCAGAAUCCAGUGGAAAUUAGAAAAUGCUUCCAGAGGUACUUUAAACAGCUAUACACACAAGGGCCACAGAAAGAGUGUGACUUAGACAAAUUUUUAAAAACAAAUGGGCUUCAAAAAAUCUCUCAAGAAAAUAAGCUAAUGCUGAACUAUAAAAUAACAGAACAGGAGGUGGAAGGUGCCAUCCAGAACAUGCAGCUGGGCAAAUCUCCAGGGCCAGAUGGUUUAACCUCUAAAUACUAUAGAUCUUUGAAGGACUGGAUAAUUCAACCAUUAAAGGAGGUUUGUAACGAAAUCUUAGAGGGGAAAAAAGCGCCAGAGUCGUGGAAAGAAGCUUAUAUUACACUGAUACCGAAAAAUGAGACUGAAAAGACGCAACUUAAGAACUACCGCCCCAUAUCCCUGCUCAAUGUGGAUUACAAAAUUUUCGCAGAUAUCUUGGCUAAAAGGUUAAAAAAGGUAUUAGUAGAAGAGAUCCAUAAAGACCAAGCUGGCUUUCUCCCAGGUAGACACUUGUCUGAUAACACGAGGAAUAUAAUUGACAUUUUGGAGAUGCUGCAAGUAAAUAUUAAUACUAAAGCAAUUUUAAUUUUUGUUGAUGCGGAGAAAGCCUUUGAUAAUAUUUCUUGGAGCUUCAUGAAGAAAAAUCUUCAGGGGAUGGGAGUGGGUCAAGGGUUUGAAAACGGUAUAAGUGCAACAUACUCAGAACAAAAAGCUAAGUUAAUAGUUAAUAAUGUGGUAACAGAGGAAUUUAAGAUAGAGAAAGGGACACGACAAGGCUGCCCAAUUUCCCCAUUGCUUUUUAUUUCGGUCCUGGAGGUGUUGCUAAAUAUGAUUAGAAGGGACCGUUUGAUUAAAGGUAUACAGGUCGGAGCCAAACAGUACAAAUUGAAAGCUUUUGCAGACGAUUUGGUAUUUACGUUACAGGAGCCAGAAUCUAGUACUAAAAGAGUAUUAGAAUUGAUUCAGGACUUUGGUCAUGUAGCAGGAUUUAAGUUGAACAAGUUAAAAACUAAGAUGCUUGAGAAAAAUUUAACACCGAUUGAGAAAGAGAGGUUUCAGAAGGAGACAGGUCUAACUUUGGUUAAGAAAGUAAAAUACUUGGGGGUUAAUAUGACUACUAAGAAUCUAAACCUAUUUAAAGAUAAUUAUGAGAAAUGUUGGCUAGAAGUGAAAAAGGAUUUAGAGAUAUGGUCAAACUUGAAGCUUUCCUUGUUAGGCCGAAUUGCUGUUAUAAAGAUGAAUGUAUCGCCAAGAAUGUUAUUUCUCUUUCAAUCAUUGCAAAUUGUGGACAAAAUGGACUGUUUCAAGAAGUGGCAGAGAGAUAUUUCAAAAUUUGUCUGGCAGGGCAAAAAGCCCAGAAUAAAAUUUAAAAUAUUAACUGAUGCAAAGGAUAGAGGUGGAUUUGCCCUGCCAGACCUUAAACUUUAUUAUGAAUCAGCAGCAUUCUGCUGGUUGAAAGAAUGGCUGCUUCUUGAGAACACAGACAUUUUGGAUAUAGAAGGUUUCAACAAUGUAUUUGGGUGGCAUGCAUAUUUGUGGUAUGACAAGGUUAAAGCACAUAAAGCAUUUAAAAACCAUAUUGUCAGAAAAGCAUUGUUAAAUGUCUGGAUAAGAUACAAGGACUUACUGGAAAACAAAACCCCUAGGUGGUUGUCACCGAUGGAAGCAAAGGCCCAGAAAAGGCUCAAUAUGGAGGCCAAAUGGCCGAAAUAUUGGGAAAUUUUGGAACAAGAAGGAGACAAAUUGAAAUUGCAGAGCUUUGAGAAAUUAAAAGAUAAAGUGCGAGACUGGCUUCAUUACUAUCAGAUAAUGGAGGCAUACAAUCUGGAUAAGAAAAUUGGCUUCCAGGUGGAAAAAUCAAAACUAGAAACAGAACUGUUAGAACCCAAUACUAAGACAUUGUCAAGAAUGUACAACUUGUUGCUGAAAUGGAAUACUCAGGAUGAAACUGUGAAAUCUGCUAUGAUUAAAUGGGCACAAGAUCUAGGACAUAAUAUCAUGUUUGCUGACUGGGAACAGUUGUGGACCACAGGUAUGAAAUUUACGGCAUGUAAUGCCUUAAGAGAGAAUAUUAUGAAAAUGAUAUACAGGUGGUACAUGACACCAGUCAAGCUUGCAAAAAUUUACCAUGUGCCCGAUAAUAAAUGCUGGAAAUGUAAGGAAAAUGAAGGUACUUUUUUUCACCUUUGGUGGACGUGCCCAAAGAUUAAGGCUUUCUGGGAAAUGAUAUAUAAUGAAUUGAAAAAGGUAUUUAAAUAUACCUUCUUGAGGAAACCAGAGGCCUUUCUCUUAGGCAUAGUCGUCCAAUUGGUGCUAAAGAGGGACAGAACUUUCUUUAUGUAUGCUACAACAGCAGCAAGAAUUCUUAUUGCAAAGUAUUGGAAGACACAAGACUUACCCACACUGGAGGAAUGGCAGAUGAAAUUGAUGGACUAUAUGGAAUUGGACAGAUUCUGUCCAACCUUUUGCGGCCCUUAUUCAGUCAGGCCCAUCAAGUUCAUAUUAUUGAAUGGUUGUAUUUACAUCAUACGCCAAAAAACACGGUGACUCCUUUAGUGGACCUCCUUGCUCAGCUCAUCAGCAAGGGCCGUCGUCGAUGUAAAAGCCUUUUUGGCACUGAUUGCCGCCAAAUUAUUGUGCCCAUGCCCCUGGAGCAAUGGGAGACUGUUCUUUCCACUAGCAUGGAUUUGCAGUGCGCUUUAGCCGAUUGCCAUGUCCCCGCCGACCCUCGCCUGCAAAUGAGUAGACAAUUUUCCUUAUCUUUCUCUUCCAUAUUGUCUCCUGUUCCUUUGGAUGCCCCUACUGUUUUUACUGAUGGAGCCCCCUCCAGGGGGGUGGUCGCAUGGCAACAAAAUGAGGAAUGGCACAGCCUCUAUACUCUCCCACAAAAGUCAGCUCAGCGUUCUGAGUUAGCAGCUGCAGUUAAAGCUCUGCAUCAUUUCUCCUCACAGCCAAUUAAUUUGGUAGUGGACAGUCUUUAUGUUGCAAAUGUUAUAACUCAUUUACAGGGCAGCUAUGUAAGUCCCUUAUUGGAUGACAAUUUAUUGAGCCUUUUCCUGUCCUUACAAUUGCUUCUCUCCAAUCACUCCCAUCCACUAUUUGUGGUGCACAUUCGCUCUCACCAACCCUUCCCAGGCUUUCUCACUGAUGGUAAUGCAAAAGCAGACUCUUUGCUUUGGGCUUUGCCUGUCUCCCCCAUUGAAAGUCAUGCUUUCCAUCAUCAGAAUGCGAAAGCUCUUAGCCGCCAAUUCCAAAUUCCGUUGGAAGCGGCUCGUGCAAUUAUCCAACAAUGCCCUCAAUGCUCUAAUCAGAUUGGCCACCCCAGCCCUGGUGUCAAUCCCCGUGGGCUGGAGGCCAACCAGUUGUGGCAAAUGGAUGUGACUCACUUCACCCCUUUUUCACCUUGGAAGUUCAUACAUGUCUGCAUUGAUACGUUUUCUGGCUUUAUUUGGGCCACCCCUCAAAGGGGACAACAGGUUAAACAUGUUUGUAAUCAUCUUGUUCGUACCAUGUCAGUCAUGGGCAAGCCCCAUUCCUUAAAAACUGACAAUGCCCCAGCGUAUUAUGCAAAAACCUUUGCUCAGUUUUGUGAAACUUGGAAUAUUCACCAUUUAUUUGGCAUCCCCUACAAUUCUCAAGGCCAAGCAAUUGUUGAACGUGCCAACCGCACCCUAAAAACUGCCUUGAUUCGACAGGAAAAGAAGUCCGGAGUUCCAGCCUCACUUUCAGAAAAGGAAGGCUGGUUGGCUAGUGUUUGCUUUACUCUCAAUCAUUUGAAUGUUUCCAUACAGGAUCAUCAGCCCUAUACUCGCCUCCAAAAACAUUUCCAGCAAAAAGCGAUACUUCCAGCCCCGCUGGUCCGUUAUAAAAUAUUACCCUCCAACGAAUGGAGUGAACCAGUAAAACUGAUUACCUGGGGAAAGGGUUAUGCUGCAGUUUCUACUCCACAGGGUGCUCGCUGGGUUCCCGCACGCUGCGUCCGCCUCUACCAUGGCAUGGCAACAGGCCCUGCAAAACCCGAUACCGCGGUUCGACUGCCAACUCCAGAUCACCCAGGAUGCGGCGCCCAGCCCCCCCAGGACUCGCAAGCAGGGAAAUCGUAAUGGACCAGUGACGUGGGGCCAGAUAAAAUCACUCUCAUUUCAAGCUGAACAGCUUAGAAAGGAAAAGCAGCUAGAAGCAACCCCUGAUAAUUUGCUUCUGUGUCUCAUCUCCUGCCUUAAUAUUAAUUCCAUGAUAGUGCUCAUUUUCAGUGUUUUGUUUUUGCCCCUCUCUGCUUCCGCUCCUAAUGGCGGUGGUUCCACACCAAUAAAUGUGUGGGAAUCUUUUGCAAAAACCCUCAAUGUUUCUUCCUUUUGCUUAACCCAGCAGGUAUCAAUAGGUGAGAUCCUUGGCUCUUGCCUUAUCCCUGUUUGUCAUGACCCUUCUGAUAUGCAAAAUGAUACCUGGUUUUUUUCAUCCCUACCCCAAAAUGAUUCUCUCCGCACCCUUGGUUAUUCCGGUUACCAUAACCAAGUGCGCCGACGCCCACCUCUGGCCAUUGAUCUGUUGACCCCAUACGUGGCUUCCUUUAAUGUCACUUGUGCCCGUAUGGUCAAUUGCACGAAAACCAACUGUGUGAAAAUGGGCAAGGAUAAUUUUAACUGCUCUAAUUAUGUAAAUAUUUCCUAUGUAUAUAAAUAUACAGAGCUGCCUGAAGGCUGGUUCUGGUCGUGCCCAGUCUAUACAUUCAAUUAUAUUCCAGCAAACAUCAGCCAUGGCACACCCUGCUGCUUAAGCCGUUUGUCCAUCAUAUUACCCCAAAAGCAUCAUCUGUCCUGCUCUAGAUAUCGCCGCUCUGUGGAAUUGACUAAUGAUUGUGAUGAUUCUGUCUCUCUUCCCAGUAGAUCUGAAUAUAUCUCUUUAGCUGUUUCUCUAUUAGGAGUCCCUGGAUUGGCAGUACGGAAUAGUAUGAACAUUAACUCUUUAGCUUGCUCCGCAGCAAAGGCUUUGAAUUUUACUUCACAAGCUCUUCACCUUUUGAAUAAAGAACAGAGUGAACUCCAGCAUGGACUUUUACAAAAUCGUGCUGCUAUUGACUAUUUGCUGAUGCUUCAUCAUUAUGGCUGUGAACAAGUGAAUGACAUGUGUUGUUUUAAUAUUACUGAUAAUUCUAAAGCCAUUCAAAAGCAAAUCUCUCAUUUGCAAAAUCUUACACACCACAUUAAACAGGACGUUGGAUUUUCUGGCCUCUGGGAUUCAUUCAACCAGUGGCUCACUGGUUGGUUGCCAAAUCUGAAUUGGCUUCGUAAUCUUUUUCAAUAUGCUAUUGCCAUAAUAUGUAUAUUAAUUUUGCUAUGCUGCUUCAUCCAAUGCAUUCCUGGUCUCAUACGUUUUUGGUCUCAGCUUUUCUCUCCCCCUCAGGUACCUAAUAAAAUUAUUACUGCCUACUUUGCGAAGUGGCAGCACCAGCUGUGAAUAAUAGGGGAGAUGUGGGCAGACUUAUUUUGGGCAUGCGCUGGCAUACCACGUAUCCCGAAGUAUUUUUGUCCAAUUCACCCUGAAAUCAUAUAGUAACACCUCACAAAUAAGAAAAAAAAGGGGGAGAUGAUGGGAAGUUUUCUUUCUGUACAUUCUUUUCUCACCACCCUGGAAUGUUCAGUUCACAUUGAGUUCAUGAAACAUCAUAUCCUGACCUGUUCUUAAAGCAUGGUUGACCACAUCUACUAUCAAUCAUUAGUUAUAGUUUAAGUCUUGCUAUAUCAAUCAUUAGUAAUUGUUUAAUUACGAGGUCUUCACGCCUGUCCAACUCUGUGUUCCUUUUCCCAACUUUUAAUCUAUUGAUGAUUAAUGUCUUAUAUGCAACCCUUGCAAUGUAUUUGUGUUAACCAAUCAGCAACAAGCACAUACGUGGCAAUGCUGUAAUAUUCAAUAAAAGGGACUCCCCGAGACUUGCUCGGGAGAUGCCUCCCAGAUGACACUUGCUAUUCGUCUGUCGUUUAUUUAAACCCAACAGGUGAUUAGCUGUGGGAGGAGCUUAUCAGAGCUUGCAGGGCAGCAGCUGAAGGAGGAGCAAAAGGGUUUUCUUCUGUGUGUGUUUCUUUGUGGCUGAUUAGCUGCUCUCCCUGUGCAAAGGUCAGAGGCGGCAGGGUUUCUGUUGAGGCAGGUGAUUAGCUGUGGGAGGAGCUUAUCAGAGCUUGCAGGGCAGCAGCUGAAGGAGGAGCAAAAGGGUGUUCUUGUGUGUGUGUUUCCUUGUGGCUGAUUAGCUGCUCUCCCUGUGCAAAGGUCAGAGGGGGCAGGGUUUCUGUUGAGUCAGGUGAUUAGCUGUGGGAGGCGCGCCUGGCGGCGCGCGCAGUUUGAUCCAUCUUUUAGAUUUAGGGAAGCUAGUCUCAAACGUUUGUUGGGGGAGACCUAGGGUUUUUUGGGGGGGUUAUUUGUCCUGUCUUCACGCUUUUUAAGAUGGAGGACCACUGUAGCCACCCCCAACGACACGUUUUCAAGAUGGAGGGGGAGGGAACAGCUGCAGUCGCCUGCGGUUCCUGCACAAUGUUUGCCAUCUUGCCAAAGGUUGCAGGCAGCUUUACCUGCAGCAAUUGUAUGUUGAUUGCCCUCUUAGAAGACAAAGUCCAGCAACUGGAGGAACGUGUAGCUACGCUCCAAAGAAUUAGAGAGCUGGAGCUCUUCUUGGAAGCAACAGAGAACACCGUCUCCACCAAGGAGGAGACAGGGGACACCCCUGAGAAGGAGGCUAGUUCACCAACACAGGUGCCAGAUAUAUGGAGAAAUGUGACUCAAAGAAGUAGGAGGCCCAGGGUUUUCUCUGAUUGUUUAGAAAUACACAAUCGCUUUGAAGUCCUCUCCCCUAGCAUGGAAGACAAAGAACAGACUCCAUUUGAGGAUCUCUCCCUCAUUACAGUCGAUCAGGUAUAUGAAGACGAGCAGCAAAGUCAGUCCUCAGGGAAUGUGCAGGCGACCUUGGAACGGACAGCUCACAGAAGAACCCCGACCAAACCUAAGAGGAGGCGUGUAGUGGUGAUAGGGGAUUCCCUACUGAGGGGAACAGAAGCAGUGAUCUGUGGGCCUGACAAGAUGUCUCGGGAAGUGUGCUGUCUCCCGGGGCUAAGAUCCAAGAUGUAACUGAACGACUGCAAGGAAUCAUAAAACCCACUGACAAAUACCCCUUCCUCUUGGUUCAUGUGGGAACCAAUGACACUGCAAGCAAUAGCCUCCAGAAGAUCAAAAGAGACUACGAGGCUCUGGGCAGAAAAUUGAAGCAAUUAAAUGUACAACUUGUCAUCUCAUCUGUCCUCCCAGUUGAACGAUGUGGCCCAGGGAGAGAGGGAAAAAUAGUGGAAGUGAACAGCUGGCUUCACAAAUGGUGUAAACAGGAACGGUUUGGAUUCUUAGGUCACAGACUGCAGUUUCUUGAAGAUGGACUUCUGGCAAGCGAUGGGCUGCACCUCACAACGGUUGGGAGGAAUGUUUUUGCCAAUAAUCUCAGAAACCACAUCAGGAGGGCUUUAAACUGACUAAUGUGGGGGAGGGAGACAGUGCUCCUGAAGGUAGGAGUCUAUCAAUUGAUGAAGAUGAUCAUCCAAAUGUCAUAGACCAUAUGGAGCAAACAGCACGCAGACCUAGUGGUGGGAGGAGAAAAUCCGUCAAUAAGAGACACGGGGAAUGAUUAAUGGACUUCAAUGUCUGUACACUAAUGCGCAAAGCAUGGGAAAUAAACAAGAUGAGCUUGAGCUCUUGGUACAGCAAACUAAAUAUGACAUAAUAGGCAUCACUGAAACCUGGAUCCCACGAUUGGAAUGUAAUAAUGGGGGGAUACAAUCUAUUUCAGAGAAACAGACCAGACAAGAAAGGAGGAGGAGUGGCGUUAUAUGUCAGGGAUGUGUAUGCCUGUGAAGAGAUCCAAGAUUUAGAACCUCAAAGCCAAAGUGAGAGCAUUUGGGUCAAAAUUAAGGGAGAGAAGAUUAACAGAGACGUUAUUGUGGGAGUUUACUAUAGAUCCCCAAGCCAAACGGAGGACAUAGAUGAUGCCUUCCUGGAAGAGAUGGCCAAGCAUGCAAAAGGAAGGGAGAUAGUAGUAAUGGGGGACUUCAAUUACCCGGAUAUUUGUUGGAUGUCAAACUCAGCCAAGAGCAUAAGGUCAAACAGAUUCCUCACUGGCCUUGCAGACAACUUCAUUGUCCAGAAAGUGGGAGAAGCAACAAGAGGAACAGCCAUUUUAGAUCUGGUCCUAACCAAUGUUGAUGACCUGGUUAGUGGGGUAGAAGUGGAAGGAUCAUUAGGCACGAGUGAUCAUGCUCUUCUGAAGUUUACUAUACAGCGGAAAGGAGCAGCCAAGCAUACUAGGACUCAAUUUCUUGACUUUAAGAAAGCCGACUUCAUAAAACUUAGGGAAGUGCUGGGUGAGAUCCCAUGGACAGUAAUACUAAAAGGAAAGGGAGUUCAUGAUGGCUGGGAGUUUGUUAAGAGGGAGAUAGUAAAAGCACAACUUCAGGCAAUACCAAUGAGACGGAAACAUGGAAGGUGCCUAAAGAAGCAUGGGUGGCUAUCUAAAGAACUUUUAACUGAGUUAAGAUUAAAAAGGAUGUGUACAAAAAUGGAAAAGGGGGGAAACCACCAAAGAGGAAUUCAAACAAAUAGCCAGCACAUGUAGACACAAAGUCAGAAAAGCUAAAGCACAGAAUGAACUCAGGCUUGCUAGAGAGGUUAAAAGCAACAAAAAGGCUUUUAUGGGUAUGUUCGUAGCAAAAGGAAGAACAAAGAAACAGUGGGGUCACUCAGAGGAGAAGAUGGUGAAAUGCAAACAGGGGACACAGAAAGGGCUGAACUCCUCAAUGCCUUCUUUGCCCCAGUCUUCUCCGAUAAAGAAAACAAUGCCCGACCUGAAGAAUUUGGAGCAAAUGAUUCAGCAGAGGAAACACAGCCCAGAAUAACUAAGGAGAUAGUACAAGAAUACUUGGCUAGUUUAGAUGUAUUCAAGUCUCCAGGGCCAGAUGAACUGCAUCCAAGAGUAUUAAAAGAACUGGCAGAUGAGAUCUCAGAACCACUGGCAGUCAUCUUUGAGAAUUCCUGGAGAACAGGCGAAGUCCCGGCAGACUGGAGGAGGGCAAAUGUUGUCCCUAUUUUCAAAAAGGGGAAUAGAGAGGACCCAAAUAAUUAUCGCCCAGUCAGUCUGACAUCAAUACCAGGGAAGAUUCUGGAGCAGAUCAUUAAGCAAACAGUCUGUGAGCACCUAGAAAGGAAUGCUGUGAUCACCAAUAGUCAGCAUGGAUUUCUGAAAAAUAAGUCAUGUCAGACUAACCUGAUCUCGUUUUUUGACAGAAUUACAAGCCUGGUAGAUGAAGGGAACGCAGAGGAUGUAGCCUACCUUGAUUUCAGCAAGGCAUUUGACAAGGUGCCCCAUGAUAUUCUUGUAAAGAAGCUGGUAAAAUGCGGUCUUGACUAUGCUACCACUCAGUGGAUUUGUAACUGGCUGACUGACCGAAGCCAAAGGGUGCUCAUCAAUGGUUCCUCUUCAUCCUGGAGAAGAGUGACUAGUGGGGUGCCACAGGGUUCUGUCUUGGGCCCGGUCUUAUUCAACAUCUUUAUCAACGACUUGGAUGAUGGACUCAAGGGCAUCCUGAUCAAAUUUGCAGAUGACACCAAACUGGGAAGGGUGGCUACCACCCCAGAGGACAGGAUCACACUUCAAAACGACCUUGACAGAAUUAGAGAACUGGGCCAAAACAAACAAGAUGAAUUUGAACAGGGAGAAAUGUAAAGUAUUACACUUGGGCAAAAAAAAUGAGAGGCACAAAUACAAGAUGGGGGACACCUGGCUUGAGAGCAGUACAUGUGAAAAGGAUCUAGGAGUCUUGGUUGACCACAAACUUGACAUGAGCCAACAGUGUGACGCGGCAGCUAAAAAAGCCAAUGCAAUUCUGGGCUGCAUCAAUAGGAGUAUAGCAUCUAGAUCAAGGGAAGUAAUAGUGCCACUGUAUUCUGCUCUGGUCAGACCUCACCUGGAGUACUUUGUCCAGUUCUGGGCACCACAGUUCAAGAAGGACACUGACAAACUGGAACGUGUCCAGAGGAGGGCAACCAAAAUGGUCAAUGGCCUGGAAACGAUGCCUUAUGAGGAAUGGCUAAGGGAGCUGGGCAUGUUUAGCCUGGAGAAGAGGAGGUUAAGGGGUGAUAUGAUAGCCAUGUUCAAAUAUAUAAAAGGAUGUCAUAUAGAGGAGGGAGAAAGGUUGUUUUCUGCUGCUCCAGAGAAGUGGACACGGAGCAAUGGAUCCAAACUACAAGAAAGAAGAUUCCACCUAAACAUUAGGAAGAACUUCCUGACAGUAAGAGCUGUUUGACAGUGGAAUUUGCUGCCAAGGAGUGUGGUGGAGUCUCCUUCUUUGGAGGUCUUUAAGCAGAGGCUUGACAACCAUAUGUCAGGAGUGCUCUGAUGGUGUUUCCUGCUUGGCAGGGGGUUGGACUCGAUGGCCCUUGUGGUCUAUUCCAAUUCUAUGAUUCUAUGAUAUGUAAAAAUUUUCUGAGACACCGUUGCUGGAAUUUUCUAGGAACUGAAUUUAUAAGUGGUCCAUGUUUCACAAGCAGACAGUAAGGUUGGUAGUACAAUAGCUUUGUAAACAAGCAUUUGGGUUUCCCUCCAAAUGUUCUGGUUCUUAAACACUGCACUUCAGUUGGGAGAAAGCUGCAUUCACAGAGUUCAGCUGAUGCUGAAUUUCAGCAACAAUGUCGGCCCUUGUGGAAAGAUUAUUGCCCAGGUAGGUGAAGUGAUUGACAUUUUCCAGUGUUACACCAUUGAGUUGGAUUUGUGGGGCUGCAGAGGGGUUGUUUUGCACUUGUUGGUGCCGCACUUUGGUUUUUUGGAUGUUGAGUGAUAGGCCAAGCUUUUUGUAAGCUUCUGUGAAGAUAUUUAGGGUGGUUUGGAGGUCAUCCUCUGAGUGUGCACGCACACACACACUACGUUGUCAUCAGCAUAGUGAAGCUCUAUGACAGAAGUUAUGGUACCCUUACUCUUUGCUUUCAGCCUACUCAGAGUUUUCCAUCUUUUCAAUAACUGAUACCACUGUGAAUGGUUCACUCUGAGAGCCAUUGUUAUCUGCAAUUGUAUUAUCACGGGCAUGAUUUUCUCAUGGGCAUGACAGCUUCAAGAAAAAUUCAAAACCAACUCCUGUAUUAACCUGACUAAGGCCAUUGACACUGUAUAUCAUUAUGCCCUGUGGACUGUCCUUUUGAAAAUUGGCUGCCCAAAUAAAUUUGUGAACAUCCUUUGGCUCCUCCUCCUGCUGCUACAGACAGGAGGGAUGGGGGAAGCAGCCCCAGCUGGAAGCAGCCCCAGCUUAGUCUUAUUGCUGUGCCUCUUUGCAGGGCAUGCAAAAAGAAGACAGGUAAAACCCACCUCACUUUAUUUCUGAUCUAGAAAAAAGGGAUGGAAGCUUUACCAGCUUAGUUUCCAGCUCAGGAGUAGAAUAAGGUAACAGCUGGCAGACAGUAUUGCCACAAGGGUCUAAGAAAAGUGCAAUGGGAUAAAUACCUUCAGAAUUCAAUUUUGUGAUGAACAGUUGAUCCAAACUGACACUGUAAUAAGAAGAGGCUAACAGAAUAAAAGAAGGAAACCAAGUGGCUAUUUUUACACCAUUCGUAAUUUCUCAAUGUCCUAUUGACAUCUUUUGCCUGUAAGAAUGCUUUGAAAAGGCUCUAGGCUUCUUUCAUGGCUAGGGAAGAUGUUUGACUUCCAAAGGUCAUUUGCAGCAAUUAGAGGAAAACAAAGGACGAGUCCCCGUCCCCCAUUGUCAACCAGACAACAUUAUAAGUUAAAUUGAUUUUUUUAAUAUUAAGAUGGUUUGGCAAGAAAUAUAUUAGGAAAGAAUCAUUACAGAUUUGACCUCAUCAUCUUUAGUCUUCCAUUCUAACAAUAAAUGCCUAGAAGCAGAGUUUCUGGAGCUGUUUUCCACGCUGCUGCUGCUGCUUGAUUUAUGGAGGUAUGUUGCUGGCUGCCAAGAAAAGAAGAUAGCGUCCCUGUUUGCCUGUUAAUUGUGCUCUGAGUGGGAGAGAGAGUGGCUGAAGGAGUCCAAGGCUUUAUUUGUGUUGCACGUAGGGAAGUGUCUUGCUUUAAUUAAUAGCAGACAUGGCCUGUGCACAUUCCGGCCAGAUGGCUCUAUCCUUUCCUCUCCUCACGCCCGAGACCUAUCCAACGUGGCAGGUCAAAAUGAAAGCGCUUUUACAGAGGGAAAAGCUAUUUCACACCAUAGAAGAUGACCCUCCCCAGGAGGAUGCAGAUGAAUGGCCUGAGUGGCAUGUUGCAGACUUGAGAGCCUGGGGGACAAUUGUUUUGAGUGUUUCAGACCACUUGUUGGCAUACUUAGAGGGUCAAGAGACUGCACAAGCAGUCUCUUGGCAUAAACUGAGAGAUAUAUGCAUUUGAGACAAAAUGCCGGUUCCAGCGUGAUUUUCUUCAAGAAGCUGCACAGGCUGCAAUUAAAGAAAGAUGGUGAUUUGCCCAGCCAUCUGUCCCAAUUAAAAUGCCUCCGACAGGACCUUGUUCAGCGAGACCUGAAUAUUUCAGAGGCUGUGUUUGCAAUGUUAAUGAUAAAUAUCCUAGACGGUUCUUUUGACGGUGUAGCUGCUCAAAUUUCUACCAUGCUGGUCAGCUAACAGAAGAUUAUGUGUCUAGCAUGCUCUUGAAUGAGUGGGAUUGCAGACAGGCUGUUAGAGAAAGCUGGGACAAUGCUGCUGAAAAUGUGCCUAAGUCUCCAGCAGGGGAAAGUGAAAGUGCUGCUAAAGCUCUAAAAUUGCAGCGUUGCUUUUCAUGUGGUGCUCAAGGCCAUAUGAGUUUCCAGUGUAAGAAAACUUCAAAGAAGAAGGGCAACUUCAAAGGCAGAGGGGGAGGAGGACAAAAUUCCCAAGGACCGGCUACAUCAAAGGCUUUGAUCUCAUACUGCUCCAAUCAACGUGGGCGGAAUUUUUUUGUCAUAGACUCUGGCUGUACCAACCACAUAUCUAAAGAUAAGGAUCUCUUUGCUCAUCUUGAGAAGCAAGAGAAAGCAAUUCAUCAAGCAGAUGGAACUGUUCUCAGAAGUUUGGCUCAAGGAACUGUGUUUUUAAAGAGCCUUAAUGCAACAAUCCUGUAUGCUCCUCAUCUUCAGGACAAUCUUUUGAGUGUUUCUCAGCUUGAUUAUCAAGGGUUCAAGGUGGUUUUUGCUGGAUCUCGUUGUGAAAUUCAUCGAGUUGGCAAGCUCAUUCCAUAUGCCAAAUGUGUUAAUGGUUUAUAUCAAUUGCCUUUUGUUACAGGUACAGCUGCUGAAGCAACUGAGAAAACAUGUUGUAACAUUUCUGUAGAUAAGAAUGAGAAGCUGCAUGAUCAAUGUAUUCAUGAGUACCACCAUCUUUAUGGUCAUUUGCAUUUUCAGGCAGUGGCUAAAAUGCCAAGCAUGGUUGAGGGCAUGAAACUGAAAAAAUGUCCUUACCAUAUGAAAUGUGUUUCUUGCGCUGAAAAUAAGGCUAAGCAAGCUCCCAAAGGUGUAAAAUCUGGGAGAGAAGCCAAGAAACCUUAUGAAGUCAUACAUCCCAACUUGGUGGGACCUCUAGUGCUCUCUAGAGGCAACUCACGUUUUUUCAUGGUGCUGAUAGAUUCCCAUUCAAGAUAUGUUUGGGUCUAUAUGCUGCAGAAGAAAUCUGAAGCUUUCCCUAAGUUUCGACAGUGUUGUGCAUGGCUCAGGAAUGUACACAAUGAGAACAUACAUUGUUUGUUUACUGACAGGGGUGGAGAAUUUUGUUCAGAAGAAUUUGAGAGUUUUCUUACUGAACAGGGCAUAGAGCACAUGACUGCCAUGCCCAGAUCUCCCUGGCAAAAUGGUUUGUGUGAACGAGUGAACCAAAGCUUGCAACAAGGUAUAAGAACUCUGUUGCACGAUUCGGGCCUACCCAAUCCCUUUUGGGCCGAGGCUCUUUCCUGUUUGUCUUAUGUGUACAAUCGUAGAUAUCAGUGCACUAUGGAUUGCACCCCAUAUGAAAUGCUUUACAAAAGGAAGCCAUACGUAAAACAUUUCAAAAUUUUUGGUUUGGAGGUAUGGGUGCACACUUUGCAGGACAACAAAUUGAGCAAACUUGGUGAACAUGGUAUUUUUCUGGGAUAUGAAAAGGGUUCCUAUCGUGUGUUAAUCACUGACACAAAAGCGAUUAGGUUGACCAGAAACAUGGAUUGUAAUCCAAAAUGGGACAGAGUUGGCAUUUUUCAAUGUCGUCCCAUUUAAGAUGAUGAUGGUGCAAAAGCAGUUAAGAAAGAGGCAGAUUCUGUUGUUGCUGAUGAUGAUAAUGCUGAUGCCAACAUAGAUUCUGAUGAUGACACAGAUUAUCAAAGUCCAAAAGCCUCAGAUGAGUCUGACACUGAUUCAGACACAGCACCUUCAUUUACUUUAGGUCAUCAUUCUCCCAAGGAGGAGGAGACACCAGACCCAGAGGACCAGAGAGUUUUGCGUAGAUCUAAAAGAACUACAAAGGCCAUGCCACCUAAACGGUUCUCCAAAGAGUUGGCUAAAGCUGCUGUUACUAGCAACUCUGGUGCGGUUUUUGAACCAGCCAACUACAAAGAGGUUCAAAAUCUGUCCGCAAAGGAUGCUGAACCUUGGCUGAAUGCCACACACACAAGAAAACUCUUUUGCUCCUCCUUCAGCUGCUGCCCUGCAAGCUCUUAUAAGCUCCUCCCACAGCUAAUCACCUGACUCAACAGAAACCCUGCCCUGUCUGACCUUUGCACAGGGAGAGCAGCUAAUCAGCCACAAAAAACACAGACACAAGAAAAACCCUUUUGCUCCUCCUUCAGCUGCUGCCCUGCAAGCUCUGAUAAGCUCCUCCCACAGCUAAUCACCUGGCUCUCUCCCUCUGGCACUGAUGGCAGUUCCCUGACAUCUGCCUUCCUUAAUUUUGUGAGGUAGAUUAGGGUAAGAUACAGUUUCUAGCCCAAGGUCACACAUUAAACUUCAUGGCUGAACAGGGAGACCAGGUUAGUGACAGAGAAGCUGAAGGAGGAGCGAACCUUGCCCGCGAGUACUGGAAGACCUGGCAGGCCUUUUUUCCACCUGACCUGCAGCAGUGGGGCCCAGACUGAUUCUUGGGCUUUUUAAGGGGUUGUUGUUGUUGUUGUUGCUGCUGUUAUUGAUAUUAAUUCUGGUUUAUUUUUUAUUUUUAGAUCUUCUUAUGACUUAUGUGGAAAUUGUUCAAAUUUACUGUACUUUUUGAUGUUUUUAUUUAUUGUUUAUGAUUACUUUUGUAGUCAUAUUUGUAUUUAUGUAAAUAUUGUUCAUGUUGUAAGCCACCUUGUGCAUGGUUUUAACAAUGGAAAAACAUACAAAUAAAAUGAUGUAUGUACGUAUGAGAUUUCUUUCUUUAAAAGAAAUAAAUCCAUUUCCAUACAUUUUAACAAAGAAUGUUAAAACAAAUGUAUGUAUGAGAUUUCUUGAUCUCCUAUAUACCCAAGUAAAGUCAGGGUCAUCUGAAUUUUGAAAAACUUCAUUUUGUAAUAACGUCUAUAAUGAAGAUAGACAAGUCAUUUUCUCCAUGUGAUUCUACAUAUGUGUGAAAAUGUAUUUUACAUGUGUUACAGCACCAGCACGCCUAUGCUGUCUGGCGGUGGCUCUUCAGGGCUUCAGACAGAGGUCUCUAAGCCCUGGCUGGAAACACCAGGAGCUGACUUCCGGGGUGGCGCCAUCGGUAAUGGCGGAUUCCCUCUGAUCCGGAGGGACUGGCUCCACGGAAAACGGGUCUGUUCUGUUACGGCGAAGCGGGGACCCUUCAAAAAAUCACAGGCGGAGGAAGCCUGUGACCAUGGGACUCGGCGGGCACCUUUUGCGCCCCCCCAAUCCAUAAAGGAACCCAACUACAGGCUCCGGAGCGAAGAGGGGCUAGUGGCGCGGUGCUGAGAGUCAACUGCUUCUUCUGUGGAGCAAAGCCGCACAGCCGUUGCCGGAGAGUGCUACCUUUUUCCUGGGACAAUUGGGUUACAAAAACAACUACCCGUGAGCAGAUCAAAUUUGGACAAUUGGACUUUAAACAACGAUCUGUGAGAAGAAGGGAAAAUUGGAUUAGGAAAUUCUUCUUAAUUUGGCACUGAAGCGGGAAGGUCUAAACAGGAAGUCAGCCUUCCAUUUCUUGUAGAUAGAUUAAAGCAAAGACAUGGCAAACUAGAGUUCAGAAAAUCGUUUGUAAAGGAUCAACUUUCAUCAUUUAAAACUACUGAACCCCCUUCGGAAGCAGGAGAAGAGGGGGGAUUUUUUCCGGAUGGUUUAAACUUGCAGGAGAGAGUGUAAAGAAAAGUAAUGUUCCACCGUCUUGAACCUGGGAGCGGGAUGUCAGGACAGACUUUUUGGGGAAGUUCAUUGACUAUAGACAAAUAUUUUUGACAGAUAGUUAAAAGAAGAGAAACAUAGUGAUUCCAUUGUUCUCUUUCGCAUUUUAAAGGAACAAAUACUGACAAAAUAUCUGAAAAAGGAAACUUUGUUGUUAGAUCUGUUGUUAAAAAGAAAAGAAAAGAAAAGAGAUUGAUACAAAUAGAAGUUCUUCCCCUAGAGGGAGCUUGUGAAACUGUUAUUAAACUUGAACUGGGGAGCUUCGCAGCUGCAAACAGAUUAAGAUCGUGGGAACAGACUUCUGACCUUGCAUAACAAUGUACUCAGAGGCUCUGGUGCGUGCUUUCUGUAAGACAAGUGCUUUAUUGGAACAGUUACAUGAGAAGACGGAUUUGAUGACUGUUGCGAUUAGAAAUUUUGGACAGGUAGUGGGUAUCUAUAUAGAACCCACCCAGGAAUCAACUCAGGAGUGUGCUCUGACAGAUCAGAUGAGGGAGGAGAUUGUUGUUGGACCUCGGGUGGCAGAGAUGGAGGGAGGUGUGGCCCAGCAGGAACAUGAGUUGUUGGAUUUGACAAAUGAACUUGGAAAAAGCCAGAUUUGGAGAGAUAGAGUUUUGUUGGGUUUGGAGAUGGGGGGCUGGAUAGACCCCCCUAUGCAGGGAUGUCUUGACUUUUCAAGUCUGGCAGUGGGCCGUGAGGAGUUUCGGGUUGUGGGGGUCCUCAACUUUGGAGGGACUUUGAAACAUGCUUUUAAAUACCAUAUGGAGUUCAGUGUGGAUUAUGGAAAAGGGGCUGAUCUGUCGAGAAGGGACAAAAAUACUGUCAAGUAGGAGUUUCCACGAGUGAAAGGACCAGGAGACAAAGUAAAGUACAGGUAUAAAUAUGAAGAAGAUCUGCGGAAGGGACAUGGAAGAGACUUAAGGGCCUCGGAUAUAAGGUUACCAGGUUAAUGAACUAGAUGGAUGGGACAGAAAGGACUGACAAAACCCAGGACCAGGAGGAAGAGACGUUGGAUGAAGAUUGGAAGAAAGUUUUUUAAAAAAUUUUUAUUUAGGAUUGUUUUGUAAAAUUAAUGAGUAUUAGAAAAAUGUUGGAACGAAACUAUUUGGCUUUAGCAGAAAUGUUUAAAAAAACUAUGCAAGAAUAUGUUAUGGUUAUGAGAAAUUGGUAUAAAUAAGAUUUAAGUUUUAAGUUCUAGGGUCUUUUAUAGUAAGAUAAGGUUAAAAUAGAUUAAGGUAAUUUAAUGACAGAAUAUUAUGAAAAAUGGGAAGGAUUUGCUGUUAUAAUUAAUAACUGGAAUACAAAAAAGGGGGGUGUGAGGAGGUCGAUGAAAUAAGGCAAUGACAGUUAAGGAUUUGGGAAUAUUGGAUCUGUUUUUAAAUGUUUGUGGUUUACUUUUGUUUUUUUGGAUUUUGAUGUGUUUUGUCUUUGUUUUUUUAUUUUUAUUGAUUUGUAUGGUUUGACUGCUGUUUGCUUUUCCCUUGUUUUUUUUCUUUUUUGUCUCUUUGUUUUUUCUGUAACUUUAAAAUGCUUAAUAAAUAUCAUAAAAAAAGGAAACACCAGGAGCUGAGCCAGGGACCCCCUGCAGCAAAGCAGGCGCGCAAUCCUUGAGCUAGGACUGUUCCAUGAAAAGUUAAACCAGGGUUUCCAGAGCUGGGGGGUGAAUGGGUUGUAGUGACAUAAGCUAUCACACUUACAGAUGGAUCCAGGGCUGUUGAUGAAGAUCAUCUGCUGCUCUGGGUGGGUGCUAUCCCUCAGUGGUGGCAAUUUAAUAUGUCUUUCCUUACUGCUCAGAAUAUUCUUCCAGCCUUCAGACUUCCUUUGCCCAACAAGGCUGACUGUGAUUGGAUGACCAAAAGUAGGCAAAGCCUUUGUAAGAAGCCUUUGAAUUAAUUGCCAACUCCUUUGGAUAUCUAGGAUCUCUUUUAGUAUGAUAUGAUUAAAAAUUGAAAAGGUUAUGUUUUGGGUAACACUGGCUCAUGUUUCCUGAGCAUGCUGACUAGUCCUGAAACAGAAAAUAGCAUACAAAGGCUGAGGUAGGGGGAUGAGGCAAAGAGGCAAAGAAGGGAUCUAAGGGUAAAGAACGGCUCUGGCUCCUACAGCUACCCAUCAGGUCAGAGUGCUGCAGUAGAGUAAUCUGGAGCAGUCUGAGAGGAUAACUUUGGGGUGUGAGCAGAGUCCGGUUAUAUUCCUAUAACUUGUAUAAUGCUUGUAUAACAGGGCUUAAGUGCACAAGGUAAUCUCAUUAUCAGCAGGGCUGGAUGGAAAGGAGCAUUACAUUACAAAAGACAGAUUGGGAGCUGUCAUUAGUCAAAAUGCUUAACAUUUUCCUACCCAUGACUUAGCACAGUCAGGAGGGACAUCUUGGCAAAGCAGAUAAUGAUUUAAGAGGUAUCAAUGUGACCACUACAGGGACCGAGCGAAGUAAGACAGCUUACUUUAAUUUAGGACAGAAUUUUCUUGCUGGAGGGAAUUUGUUACCCACAAGGGACAAUUAGUCGCAAAAUUGGAGACAUUACUUCAUUAGAUAUCACACUGGUUCCAGAGAAUUAGUCAGCCACAUGCCCAAAGGAUUCAUUAUGUGUGUUAGUGACUGGGGUGGGCAUUCUCCUCGGCAGUAGCCAGUCUUAAGAGGAUCUUUGGUGGGACCACUAGGGCUUCUGGUCUUAAACGUAGCUAAUACUCAGCUUGAGCUUUCUCCAAUUUCUUGCACUAGCACUCUUUUCUCAGAGGAAGCACAUAGUCUUGGACAUAUGUAGACUUCCAGUUGAGCUGAACUCCUCAGUAGCAGCCGAGAGAGUGGGGAUGUGCACACUAGUCCUAUCCCUUCUAAAAUGCUUCCUGGCAGCUUUGCCCCAUGCUGCCCGCAGAGGGAAACCCUGCCCAAUAUGUAGAAGCUGUCCACACGUGCCAAAGCCCUGUCUUGCAACCUAUGUUCAGGCAGCUUCGCCACCGCAGACAUCCCUCCAACAUCCCUCCUUGUGAAGCAGGCAAGGGUGCCAACCUGAAUAAAAUAUGGAGGGGGGAGGCCAGGUAAGCCUUGCCCUGCAUAAUCAAUCACAUGACACAGUGCACACAACCAUUUGAAAGGCAAUGCCCAUCAACUUGGGGGUGCAGCCCCCUCACAUAUUUUUUUGAGGUGUCCGACGAUACCUCAGCUCCUGUAAAUUGGCUCAGGGUUGCUGAAAUAUACUCAGAGUCAAGAGUGGAUUUCAUGCUCUUCUCAGAAAUGCCUAACCGACUACUUUGUAAACAACGUCAAUAAAGGAACAAAAAUGAGUAUUGUUUGGGACGCUAGUAAAGCGGUGAUGAGAGGUUUCUUUAUUCAAAAAAAUGCAAUAAAAAACAGAAUGAGAGAAAAAGGGAAAAAAGAAAUCUUAAAACUAGGAUACAAAAAAAGGGAGGAGUGAGGAGGUCAAAGAAAGAAGGUAAUGACAGUUAAGGAUUUGAGAAUAUUGGAUUUGUUUUUAAAUUUUUGUGGCUUAUUUUUGCCUCUUGAUUGUGUUGUGUUACGUGCCUUGUUCUUAUUUUUUGAUUUUGAUUUUUAUCAAUUUGUAUUGUUUGAUUGUGGUUUGUGUUUCUUUUGUUUUUUCUCUUUCUUUUUCUUCUCUGUUUUUUCUGUAAUUUUAAAACUCUUAAUAAACUCUCUUCAGCCAAAAUGGCGGCGCAAGCACUUGCAGCGGCUCGGCACUCCGAAGACCAAUAGCCUUAACAUCUGUCGUUAUGAAAUGUUUUGAGAGAUUGGUGCUAGAUCAUAUUAAGGCUGGUCUUCCAUCCACUCUAGACCCGUUCCAGUUUGCAUACAGAAGAAAUAGAUCUACUGAUGAUGCUAUUUCCAUCGCUGUCCAUACUGUACUGAGUCAUCUAGAACGACAGGGAACCUACGCAAGGCUGUUGUUUGUGGACUACAGUUCUGCCUUCAAUACAAUUCUGCCAGACAGGUUAUUUCUUAAAAUGACCAGUUUGGGUAUACAUCAGAAGAUCUGUCUGUGGGUAAGGAAUUUCCUGACUGAUAGGCCGCAGACAGUGAGAAUGGGCCCUUACUAUUCUUCUACUCUAGUAUUAAGCACAGGAGCCCCUCAGGGAUGUGUGCUAAGUCCCUUUCUCUAUUCCCUGUACACAUUUGAUUGCACCCCACUGUAUGAGUCCAACACAAUCAUCAAAUUUGCGGAUGAUACAACAGUGGUGGGGCUCAUUAGUGAGAACGAUGAGACUGCUUAUAGGAAAGAAGUACAGGGGUUAAUUCAAUGGUGUAAAGAAAACAAUCUUAUGCUUAACACCAAAAAACCAAAGAACUCAUAAUUGACUUUAGGAGAAAGAAAAGCGUAUUUUUACCAUUGCACAUAAAUGGCGAGGAGGUGGAGAGGGUUGGUAGUUUUAAAUACCUGGGCACUUACAUCUCUGAGGACCUCUCAUGGACUGUAAAUAUUAAUAUGGUUGUGAGGAAGGUGCAGGGGAGGUUGUAUUUCCUGAGAAUGCUCAGGGGACUGAAUCUAUCUCAGCACCUACUUCUGUCCUAUUAUCACAGUACCAUCGAGAGUGUCUUAACAUAUAGUAUAUUAUCGUGGUAUGGGAGCAGCUCUGAAACGGAUAAAAAGCUUUACAGAGAAUAAUUAAAAUUGCCCAGAAUGUUAUUGGGCUCCAACUACCAACCCUGGAUGAGAUCUUCACGUCUCGCACUUUGAAGAAGUCACACAAUAUCCUGAGAGAUCCCACCCAUCCUGCUCACAACUUCUUUGAACUGUUGCCUUCGGGCAGAAGAUAUAGGACAAUGAAAACACGAACCACACGCCUUCUGAAUAGUUUCUAUCCAAGAGCUCUGAUUGCACUAAAUAAUGAUCUCAGGGCCAGUUGCAAGGAAUAGCAAGCAGGGAGUAGGAAGGAAUGAGACAGGUUUUUAGGUUAUGUUAUGCUUUUAAUAGGUUAUGUUACAUUCUGGAGUAUGAUAUGUUUUUAUAGAUUAUGUCUGAAUAGGAUGAGAGUGUUGGAGAUACGUGCAAAUGUGUAUGUGAACCCGGUCUUCGAGUGGGUGUUUGAUUUUCGUUGUUGUGUAUACUGUGUAUAUACGGACAAUGACAAUAAAUUUAUCUAACAAAUCUAACAAAUCUAACAAAUCUAAUCUAACAAAUAUCAUUUUUUUUAAAAAAAGAAUAAUAUCAAGAUAUAUCUGGCAAGGCAAGAAGCCAAAAUAAAAUUUAAGAUAUUAACAGAUGCAAGAGAUAGAGGAGGUUUCGCCUUGCCAGAUUUAAAGUUAUAUUAUGAAGCUUCAUGUCUUUGCUGGGUGAAAGAAUGGAUGAAGUUAGAAUAUACAGAAUUGUUGGAUUUGGAAGGCUAUGAUAAUAGAUUCGGUUGGCACGCAUAUUUAUGGUAUGACAAAAAAUGAGUGCAUAAAGGUUUUGAAAACCACAUCUUUAGAGGAUCUCUGAUUGAAGUAUGGAGUAGGUAUAAAAACCUAUUGGAACCUAAAACGCCAUACUGGUUAUCGCCAUUGGAGGCAAUGAGUGUCAAAAAGAUCAAUAUGACAGGGAGAUGGAUAACAUAUGAAAAUUUAAUAAAUAAAGAAGGAAAUAAAUGGAAGCUGAAACCAUAUGAAGAAGUAAAAGAACAUGUUAAUGACUGGCUGCAUUACUUUCAGUUGAAUGAAAUGUUUAAAAAAGAGUUAUUAGAAAGAGGUUUUUCUGGAAAGGAAUCCAGGUUUUAACAGGAAAUUUUGAAUAAUGAAGUGAAAAUUUUAUCCAGAAUGUAUAAAUUAUUGUUAGAGUGGUAUACAAAGGAUGAAGAGGUUAAAUCAGUAAUGAUCAAGUGGGCCAAAGAUUUCGGAUAUAAUAUUCAAUUUGAUGAUUGGAUAAAAUUGUGGAAGGAAGGAAUGAAAUUUACUGCAUGUACUACAAUAAAGGAAAAUGUUAUGAAGAUGAUAUAUAGAUGGUAUGUAACACCAGUAUGUAACUCAUUAUAAAUCAUUUCCCAAAAACUUUUCACCUUUUUACAUUCCCACCACAUAUGGUAAAAUGUUCCUUCUUUUUCAUGACAUUUCCAACAUUUAUUACUAACCUUAUACAUCUUACAUUCAACUGAAAGUAAUGCAGCCAGUCAUUAACAUGUUCUUUUACUUCUUCAUAUGGUUUCAGCUUCCAUUUAUUUCCUUCUUUAUUUAUUAAAUUUUCAUAUGUGGGGACGCGGGUGGCGCUGUGGGUAAAACCUCAGCGCCUAGGACUUGCCGAUCGCAUGGUUGGCGGUUUGAAUCCCCGUGGCGGGGUGCGCUCCCGUUGCUUGGUCCCAGCGCCUGCCAACCUAGCAGUUCGAAAGCACCCCCGGGUGCAAGUAGAUAAAUAGGGUCCGCUUACUAGCGGGUAGGUAAACGGCGUUUCUGUGUGCUGCGCUGGCUUGCCAGAGCAGCUUCGUCACGCUGGCCACAUGACCCGGAAGUGUCUGCGGACAGCGCUGGCUCCUGGCCUCUAGAGUGAGAUGAGUGCACAACCCUAGAGUCUGUCAAGACUGGCCCGUACGGGCAGGGGUACCUUUACCUUUACCUUUAACGCCAGUAAAGCUGGGUAAGAUGUAUAAGGUUAGUAAUAAAUGUUGGAAAUGUCAUGAAAAAGAAGGAACAUUUUACCAUAUGUGGUGGGAAUGUAAAAAGGUGAAAAGUUUAUGGGAAAUGAUUUAUAAUGAGUUAAAGAAAAUGUUAAAAUAUACAUUUGUUAAAAAACCAGAAACAUUCCUAUUGGGAAUAUUAGGUAAGGAAAUUAGAAAGAAGGAUCAGAGGUUAUUUUUGUAUGCAGUAACAGCAGCUAGAAUUUUGUUGGCCCAGAAGUGGAAACAGGAAGAAAUGCCUAUGAGAGAAGAAUGGAGAAUGAAAUUGAUGGAAUACGCAGAAAUGGACAAAUUAACAGGGGGGAUUAGGAACAGACGAGACCAGGGAUUCACCGAGGACUGGAAUAAAUUUACAGAGUAUAUGAAAAAUGUAUGUGAUGAACAGUUAAUGUUUGUUGGUUUUCAAGAAGCUCUGUGAAAAUGAUUGGUAGAAAUAUUGCUUAAAAAAUAUGAUAAGAUUAAGAAUGUUAUAGUGCAAUAUAAAAUUGAGAAAUGUGAGUAAAAGUGAUAAUACGGAGAAUUGUCAGACACGUUGAGGGAAGUCUAAAAGGUGUAGUUGAUGAGAAGUGGAUGUUAAAUUUUGGUGGAAUGUAUAUGGAAAAUUUAAUAAAAAAUUAUUUUUUUAAAAAAAGAGUGGAUUUCAUGCUCUUUAUUCAGCUCAUAGUGGUGAGGAGGAAUGGAAGCUCCCCCAAAGUAUCUGCUUUAUAUAAAUUAUUUACACAAUGGGCUGCACGUGAUUGGCUAAUUCCGGAAUUCUCCUGUAGGCCAAUUAGGUUGUGGAUUCACUUCCAUCUGGAGCUGGAUUGGGUGGUUCCUGCAGACCAAUCAUACUGCUGCAUUGUUCUAGGAACAAUCAGACUCCUGCGUUUUGGAUCCUAUUCAACUCAGUACAUAACACCCCUCCCAUCUAAGUUCCAGUCCUGCCCGGGAGGUCGCAUUCAUUGUCCUCAAGGUACGCCGGCGGCCUACGUGUGCGUUGCAGCCUAGGGUGUUCCCUGGUCCGGGGUUCAGGUUCUGGUCUCUUGUUCCAAGGAUGCUGGCUAUGAUGGGGCCGUUUGGUCUGGGGCAACCGGCUCACUCAGUCGUGGUUCUGGUUCCGGUGUCCUUUCGGCCUCGUGGGUCCUCUCUGUAUUUACUGAUUCUGCCUCUCCUGCUGGCCCCUCCUGCUCUACAGGCCUCACAGCCCCACUGUUCCAUUGGGACUCCUCUGACCUGUCCUCCUCCUGGUUUUCUCCCGGGAAUUGUCACCGUAUCUGGUCGCAGUGGCGAUGCCAGCAUUGCACCAUCCAUUACACCUCGUACAACACGGGGCCAGUGACACUGGUGACUAUGGCGGGCACCCAUGCUGGGCCUGCUCCCAAAUUCUUUGCGUACACUGGGUCCUGGGCCACGAAGGUCCGGGGGUUCCUGCCUUCCCCCACCACUACCUCAUCUGGAGCACUAUCGGGGUGAAGGCGGUCCAGUCUGAUUGCGAGGCGCCGACCGAUUAGUAGUUCAGCGGGGCUCCAGCCAGUCAUUGAGCUGGGGGUGCUGUGCUAGAAGGAAUGUGGCAAGGUGGUACUCCCAAUCCCCUUGCAUCAUGCGGCGGAGGGUGUCCUUGGUGGCCCGCACCAUGCAUUCUGCUUGGCCAUUGGUGGCAGGGUGGAAUGGUGCUGAGCGGAUGUGGCAGAUGGUGUUCUGCGCUGUGAAGAUUUGGAAUUCUCCUGACGUAAAUGUGGUCCCGUUGUCUGAGACGAGAGUGUCAAGGAGCCCGUGGGUUGCAAACAGCCUGCAUAGUACCUGGAUGGCUGCGGAUGUGGAAGUGGACGGUACCAGUGUGACUUCCAGCCAUUUGGUGUAGGAGUCCACCACUAUGAAGAAUGUUUUCCCCUGAAAGGGGCCAGCGAAGUCCACGUGCAGGCGUGACCAUGGUGCUCGGGCGGACUCCCAGGACUGGACUGGGGCCCUUGGGGGAUCUGGGCGGGAUUCUUGGCAGGCCUGGCAGUGUUUGACCCAGGCCUCUAUCUCUCCGUCGAUCCCUGGCCACCACACAUAACUCCUGGCAAGGGCCUUCAUUCUUACUACCCCUGGGUGUGUCUUGUGUAGGGCUGUGAGGACCCUUUUGCGGAGGGGCUGGGGAACAACGACCCUGCUUCCCCAUAACAGGCACCCCUUGUGGGCCAACAGUUCAUGUUUAUGGGUUGUGUAGCCUGUGAAUUCUGGCCCGGGGCUGCUGCUGGGCCAUCCCCUCCACACCCAGUCCAGGACCCGGGAGAUGACCCUAUAUUUCUUGGAAUGGUGUGCAACUUCUUGUGACUCAAUGGGGCGGUCGGGAAGCAGCUCCAGGUUCAUAACCUCUUGCGCGGGUGCUGGGUUGGGGCCUGUUUCCGGUAGUGGUAGCCUGCUGAGGGCAUCUGCGUGGCCCAUCACCUUCCCAGGGAGGUGAAUCAGUGCAUACUGGUAGCUGGGAAGGAAAAUUGACCACCUGAGGAUGCGAGGAGACAGCACUUGGGGGGUCUGCUUUUCGGGGGCAAACAAGCCAAGCAACGGCUUGUGGUCAGUCACCAUGGUAAAGGGCUGCCCGUACAAGAAUUCAUGGAAUUUUUUUACUCCCUUCACGAUUGCCAGACCCUCCUUGUCGAUUUGCGAGUAGUUCCGCUCGGUUGCGUUGAGUGUCUGGGAAAAGUAUGCCUCUCUUCUAUCCGGGAGUUGGUUUCCCAGGACAGCGCUGAUGCCAUAGGGCGAGGCAUCGCAUGCUAGCACCACUGGCAGCCUCUCGUUGAAGUGUGCCAAGUUUGAGACAAGCAAGUGCUUGACUGCCUGGAAUGGCCCCACACCCAAGGGGGCCCGCUUGUCCAGGAGUCUGUGUAGGGGAUCCGCUACCGCCACCUUAUGGGGAAGGAAGGAAUGGUAAAAGUUCAAUAGUCCCAAGAAGGCCUGAAGUUCAGUCUUGCUCUUGGGUGCUGGGGCAUCACAAAUGGCCCGUACCUUGUCCCCAGUCGGGUGGACCCCUUCUGCGUCCACCAUAAAUCCCAGAAAGUCCACCUGAGGCACUCCUAGUAGACACUUUUCCCGCUUCACCUUGAGACCCGCCAUCUGGAAACAGUGCAGAACGGUGCAGAGGCGGUCCUCAAACUCCUCUGGCAUGGACCCAGCAAUCAACAAAUCAUCGAAGAAGGGUUUGAUGCCAGGAAUCCCUUUAAGGAGAGAGUCCAUUAGAUUCUGGAAUAUUCCUGGUGCCACGCUGACACCGAAUUGCAGCCGCUUUACCCUGAACGCUCCUCUGUGUGUCACAAUCGUCUGUGCUUCUGCUGUGGCCUCAUCUACUGGCAGCUGUUGAUAUGCUUGGGCCAAGUCCAGCUUGCCAAUUUUUUGUGACCCAGCCAGGGUGGCAAGGACAUGGCUGACCACUGGCACUGGGUAUGCGUGGGCCGUGAGGGCCUUGUUUAUGGUAUAUUUGUAGUCUGCGCAGAUGCGGACCGAACCAUUAGGCUUGAUGGGUGUGACGAUCGGGGUUUCCCAGGGGGCAUUAGGCACAGGCUCCAGCACUCCUUGCUCCACGAGCCGGUCCAAUUCCUCGUCUAUAGGGGGUUCAGGGCGAACGGGACCCGGCAGGCCUUGAGCCUGACAGGUCAUACUGGGGGGUCAUGCUGUAGAGCAAUGGGGGGCCCGUAUACUGUCCCAAUUUCCCAUCGAAAACCCCCAGAAAUUCCUUGCAUAUGGCGUCCACUUGUAAGCUAGUGUGGUUCACCCCGGUGACAGCUAGCCCCAGUGGUCCAAACCAUGCCAAUCCCAGUAAGCUAAUGUAGGGGCCCUUGACCACAAACAAGUCCACCUGCUGCGUCCGCCCUUGAUAUUGCACCCUGAAGGUCCACAGAAAAUUCGAUUGCCAUUUGGCCUGGAUUUCCUGGGUGGAAGCAGCCUGGCAAAUGGAGGUGUGGACAAGCCCCCUGUCAAAAUGCUUUAUAUGGCACUUCAAGGAUAAAGUUCUUCAGCUCUGUAGCACCUUAGAGACAGCAGUUUUUGCUAGAAUUCUCUCUCAUUCUGGAUAGGUAAAGGUAAAGGUACCCCUGCCCGUACGGGCCAGUCGUGUCCAACUCUAGGGUUGUGCGCCCAUCUCACUUAAGAGGCCGGGGGCCAGCGCUGUCCGGAGACACUUCCGGGUCACGUGGCCAGCGUGACGAGCUGCUCUGGCGAGCCAGCACCAGCACAGCACACGGAAACGCCGUUUACCUUCCCGCUAUAAAGCGGUACCUAUUUAUCUACUUGCACUUAGGGGUGCUUUCGAACUGCUAGGUGGGCAGGACCUGGGACCGAAAGACGGGAGCUCACCCCGUCGCGGGGAUUCGAACCGCCGACCAUGCGAUCGGCAAGUCCUAGGCACUGAGGUUUUACCCACAGCGCCACCCGCGUCCCUCUCAUUCUGGAUAGUAUUCAACAAAACUCCAAAAAGCUCUCAUACAUAGAUUCAUUGAAGAGACUCAAGGCACUUGUAGACAUAUUACUCAUAUUCCAAUAGGCUGUUCUUUAUGGGGUUCUUGAUGGAGUUCCUGGAGUUAUGUAAGAAUGAGUGAGUUCACCCAUCUUUCUGGAUAUUCAAGUACUAGACUGAAACAAAUGAGGAAGGGAGGUUUCUUCCCACUCUGGGCAGAGCCAAUAGAUACUGGAUUAUGCUGUGCCUACAUUUCCCAACCUGCCUUGAGGUCUAAAAAGGAGGAAAGCACUAUCUUUUUGAGGCAGCAUUAUUAUUCCUUCUAUCUAAUACUAAUAAUUUAUUACUAAUACACAGAUUUGCUAUCACUAAAUAACUGAACCCUGUGGGAGGAAGAACAGUGUCUAAUGUAGCAUCUUCCCAUAUUUUAUGGAAUUACAGUGUACGUGUCCUGAUGAUGUGGACAGAACUCUUGCAAUGAUGCAAUCAGCUUCUUCUGCUCUUGACUCUGCUCUAUCCUGGCUGCUCAAAGCCUGUUCAGUGGGUGCGAAGACCUAACCAGGUGGAUCCAGGGAACGGUUAACAUGUCUGUAUGCAAGGGAAUGGUGCCUGCUGCCCUUAAACAAGCAGUAGUGUGUCCACUUCUGAAUAAGCCUAUCUUGGACCUCCAUUUACAACAUCUAACCCUUCUUGGGCAACAGGGUGGAGAGAGUGGUAGUGGAGUAGUUGCAGAGGUUGCUGGAGGAUAUGGUCUAUCUGGGACCUUUUCCAUCUGGGUUCAGACAUGGUUUAUGGGAUUGAUUCAGCCUUGGUCUCCCUGAUGAAUGACCUGUAUCAAGAGUGAGACAGAGAGAAGGUAUCUUUGUUCCUGCUUCUGGAUCUGUUAGUGGCUUUUGAUACCAUUGACCAUAACAUCCUCCUGGAUCAGCUCUCUGCGGUGGCUGCUGGGGGCACAGUUCUAUAGUGGCUCCAUUCCCAGCUGCAGGGCUAUGUCCAGAAUUGCAGAGUUCUAUAUUGGCCUCCUAGUCCUUGUGCUGUUGUGUGUGGCUGGGAGCAAUCCUGUGGCCAAUUCUGUUUAUGAAGGCGUUGGCAGUGGUCAGUUUACCUAACUGAGCUGCAUAUUCUACCAGACUGAAAGGUCUGUGCGAGUGUGCACAGAACUGUCAUCACAGACAUGGAGGAAGCUCCAUUGCACUCAGUGGGUCAUACUAUCUACAAAAUUUGCUUAAGAUCAGGCUAUUAGAGCUGAGUUACACAAUUGGGAGAAUCAUGCAGCUCUUCAGACUGCAGUUAAUGGCACUGAACACCUUUGCAUAUAUCUGAGCAAUAUGCACAUAAAAAACCAUCACAUAUCUGGAGAAAGGUUAGGAUAGAACUCUUCUGUCUGACACAACUGUUUUCUACAUGUGCAAAGUUGGUUUUUUAAAACACACACUAUGGGGCAGGAUUUUUGUGGAUGUGGGUUUCUUUAAAAAAAGAAAUAAUUUCAUGAUUUCUUUUUGUUUCAUGUGAGAGAAAGCUGCUAUGCCAUGUUUCAUGAUCAGACACCAAAACUGAUUUUUUAACAGCCAAUGCCCUAUGCUUUCUCUUUCAAAUGCCAGGGCAAAAGGAUUGACAACCUCUUUGAACAUGAGCAACUCUCUAGUGGAACACUACUGUUUUAUUGCUGUCUGAUGGGCUUUGAAUCAGAUCUAAAAUUAAUGGAUUGCAAAAUGAAUGGUUGUAAAUAAAACAUGGUGUUGGAAACAAAGGCCCAGGAACCUCUCUCUCUUUGAAUUGGGCUAGCAAGAGAAGCUUUUAAUAGUGCUAUUACGGAAAUUUCAAAAAGCUCCCUAGUGUGUGUGCUUCAUAGAACACUUUUAGACCACAAAACAGGGCAGAGAUUUGGCAAAAUAUUAUUUUCAUUUCCUUUGCUAUCACUGGAAACUGAACAGAAUGAGCAAAUAGAACUGGAAAGGGUGAAGCCUCUUUCUGAAUGUUUAAUACUUUUUACAAGCCGCCUUCUUUUGAAACUGGCAGCUUAUGACGCAAUCCCCCUAUUAUCCUUCAUCAGUUUGGUACUGAUGGAUUUCAGCAAUUAUUUACCAUAAAGGGGGGAGGGGGGAGAGGGAGACAAUUUGUUAUGCCCAAAUGUCUUGAAAAUGUAUUAGCUAUCACAGUAGUUAUGCAAAAUAGUGGUUAAUCACAUGAACUCUGGGUUGGGAAACCUGUCCUCCUAGCCAUGAACUCAAUGGGUGGCCCUAGCAACAGUGGGAUGGAAAUAUUACCCUGCCUUAGAUGGGUGUUAUAUGGAUUGCUGAUAGGAUGCAUGAAGUGCUUAGAGCACUAAGGAAGGCUGCUAUAUAAAUGACUGACUAUUGUUACAUUCCUGCCAACAUUUAUCCAGUGAAAAUAGGGACGUUCCAUUCCAUAAUGAUAAUUUUACUAUGUAUACCCCACACAUCUUACUGGGUUGCCCCAGCCAGUCUGGGCACCUUCCAACAUAUAUAAAAACAUACUAAAACAUUAAGCAUUUUUAAAAAAACUUCCCUAUACAGGAUUGCCUUCGGUUGGCUCGGGGGUCAGAUUACUCCAUACCCUCCAACAUUUCUCCAAUGAAAAUAGGGACAUCCUAAGGAAAAGUAGGACAUUCUGGGAUCAAAUCAGAAACCGGGACGGCUUUUCUAAAUCAGGGGUGUCCCUGGAAAAUAGGGACACUUGGAAAAUGAACGACUAUCUGACUUUUAGAAGCCAUCUGAAGGCAGCCCUGUUUAGGGAAGCAUUUAAUAUCUGAUGAAUUAUUGUAUUUUAAUGUUUUGUUGGAAGCUGCCCAGAGUGGCUAGGAAACCCAGCCAGAUGGGUGGAGUUAAUAAUAAUAAUAAUAAUAAUAAUAAUAAUAAUAUAGGGUCAUUGUUAUUCAAUUUUGUCUCCAUGUGAUGCUAAGCCACCCAGCCAUAUGGGCAAGGUAUAAAUACAAAAAUAUUAUUAUUAUUUUAAACUGGAAGCCAUAUUGACCAGCUGCAGACAUUCACCAGCUCUUUGGGGAUACUGAAUUCAUGUUCAAUAUACAUCAGAAAAUAUAGUCUAUACUGUACCAGUCCUCGGCCCAUGACGGUCAACCCUAUUAGGCCCACAAUAACCAGCACGCUAAGCACAACAGCAGGAACUAUAAUCUAAUUCACAUGGGGGCCUUGAAAGGAACUCCUCCUGGUGAGAAUGCUAAAUAAGUCUAUGGAGGAAGACAGUCACAUAGCCUCCAACAUGUCCAAGCUGGGAUGCAUGUCUUCUGGGAUACACUCCUGGGUCACUCUCUUGAUCUGUGUGAGAUCACAGUCCCCGAAAAGCACUUCUUCAGCAAGAGAUUGUUGGAGUUCAUAGUCUACAUGCAGCUUGGCAAGUGAGCAAUUAGUGUUUUGACUACAGGCUAGGGAGACAGAGCACAGGAGAAAUUUGCCUGGAGAUAAGAGGACCUCGUAACAGCUCGGUGAUUGGCUGAGGUCUCUCAUAUAGGCAGCAUGACCUACGACAUUGUUUGGCUAGUUAGGAGUAUUCUGGAGUGCUUGGAGUGUGAUGAAGAUCGUGUCUGUAUAUAUUAACUUGUAUAUGGCUUGUGAGUUUACUGCUGUAUAUAAUAAACUACAAAAUCAAGUUACCAGUCAUCAGCUUUGGUCCUGAUCGUCGUCCUGACUGAACAGUCUCGAUUGUUGCCUAGGAUAAGCUGCACUACUCUGCUAAGUUGUGCAUCACUGAAGAAGUUCAGAGGUGAAGAGACUGGUCCUAGUAGCAUGCAAGAGGACUUCAGAAAGUGCUCACAGGCUUCGGAGUUUUAACAGAGAUCAAGGCGUGAGAUCACUGUGCUCAAAAUGGCUACUGUGUUCUUGUGCAAAAAAAGUGAUGUCCAUGUUUUCCUGGGACAGUUGAGGGGUAUGCAGUCAGACACAACAUUUUAAGUUUAUUUGAAGUGGUUUGAACAUACGUUUCUUUGUCCUGAAAACAAAUGUAGUCUAGACAAUGAAUUUUCAAAACACUUUCACCAGACUUAAAACAUAAUAGAAUUCAUCUUGUAGCAAGCUCAGCUAGCACUUCUAAAAGCUGGUACAGCUGCUUGCAGAAAGCCCUCACCCAACCCUCAGUCAGAGCUUCACCUUUCACCUUCUCAUUACCUCUCCCUCCCUCCCUCCCCACUUCACCCUACUACUUGAAGUAGGGUGAAGAAAGGAAUGUGGAUGUUACUGAUCACUGUAAAAUCUUCAAUGGUUUACAUUUAUUUAGCAUCAAAGCAAAAAAUACUAGAAAAAUUGAGGAUACUUGCCAAAAUAGAUUCUGAACCAGGUUUUAAAAAAACCAGUUACCUAACUAGCAGCAACUGCUCAUUUAAUUCCCCCUCCCUUCCAUAGCACCUCAAGGACAAUUGUAUCUGUAUCCUGAUGUCAUAACUUAGUAUCUGUGCUCUCAUUCCACAUACAGUGGUACCUCUGUCCAGCAAAGAUUCUUCUGAAAGCUCUACCCUCCCUGGUUACCAGAUUUUUUUCAAUGAAUCUGGGGAUACUUUUCAACUUCCUACUAAAUAGAUGGAUUUUGUCAGGGGACUGAUUUGUAAAUCCGGAGACUGUCCCCGGGAAAUGGGGACAUCUGGUAACCUUAGCCUAGUAACCUCUUCCAGGAUGUCUCUCCCCCCCGCCGCCCUGCAUUCUCUUUUUUAUAUAUAAAUAUUUUUAUUAAUUUUACAAUACAAAAGUAUAAAAACAUAACACAUAUUUUUCCACCAAUACAUUCCUUUUGGACUUCCCUCAGCUCUUCUGAAAAUCCUCUGUUUUGAUUCUUUCUUACGCAUUUCCUAAUUUUAUAUUGCCUUAUAAAAAUAACCUUCCCCCUCCAUACUCCCUUUUUUACAAUAUUUCUAAUAUUAGUUCUUCACAGAGCUUCUUGCCAACCAACAAACUUUAUUUGUUCAUCGCAUUUACUUUUCAAAUAAUAUACAAAUUUACUCCAGUCCUUGGUGAACCUAUGGUCCCGUUGGUUUCAGAUCUUUCCUGUUAAUUUGUUGAGUUCUGCAUAGUCCAUUAAUUUCAUUCUCCAUUCUUCCAUCAUUGGUAAUUCUUCUUGUUUCCAUUUUUGGGCCAAUAGUGUCCUUGCAGCUGUUACAGCAUAUAAGAAAAACUUACAAUCUUUUCUAUUUAUUUCAUUUCAUUUCCCACCAUUCCUAACAGAAAUGCCUCUGGUUUCUUUACAAAUGUAUAUUUCAACAUUUUUUUCAAUUCAUUAUAUAUCAUUUCCCAGAAGCAUUUCACCUUUUUGCACUCCCACCACAUAUGAUAAAAUGUUCCCUCUUUUUCUUUACAUUUUCAACAUUUAUUACACACUUUAUACAUUUUUGCUAACUUUACUGAAGUGAUAUACCAUCUAUAUACCAUUUUCAUAACAUUUUCUUUUAACGCAGUACAUGCCGUAAACUUUAAACCUUCAUUCCAUAAUUUUAUCCAUUCACUUAACUGUAUGUUAUAUCCAAAAUCUCUGGCCCAAUGAAUCAUAACCGAUUUAAUCUCUUCAUCUUUAGUAUACCAAUCGAGCAGCAAUUUGUACAUUUUAGAUAGAAUUUUAAAAUCAUUAUUCAAUAUUUCCGUUUGAAACUUCGAUUCUUUUUCCAAAAAACCUUUUUCUUUAACCUCUUUUUUGAACAUUUCAUUGACCUGAUAAUAGUGCAGCCAAUCAUUAACAUACUCUUUCACUUCCUCCCCGCCCUGCAUUCUCAAGCCUUGAACUCCCUGCCUUUGUUACUCUGCCAGCUUCAUAAGACUGAGAAGGAAGAGGGGCUAAGUUAACCCACUCUUGCCUUGCCUGAGGCUGCAAUCUCUCAUUCUCAGAGUCAGACCCCUACCAAGUGUCUGACCCUGCUGGAUUCCUGACACUGCCCCCCUCUCCAGAACUCUCUUCCUCCUCUUCUUUGUCCUCCCUCCAACCUCCUUUGGGUCUGCCAGGAUGGCUCCGGUGAAAUUCCCUCUGUAGUUCUGGAGUAUGGAUGUGGUCUGCAAACUCCCAGGACCUGUCUGCUGGAUCACAUCUAGUAUCAGAUACUGCAACUUCCUCCUCCUUCAGUAUGAGUCCAAAAUCUGCUCCACUUCGGAUUCCUCAUGUCCCUCUAUUACUACAGGAGGUGAAGGCGCUUCCCUAAGGGGGUUUGGUAGGGGUGAGCAGGGGUUACCGGGGACAACAGAGCUCUAUGGAACACAGGGUGUAUUUUCAUGGAAGCUGGCAACCUAAGCCGGAACGUCACAGGAUUGAUUUGUUCUAUCACUUCAAAUGGCCCCACCCUCUGCGGAUCCAGUUUCCUGCAUCUCCCUUUCAGAGGCCAAUCCCGUGUGGACAACCACACCCUGUCUCCCACCCUUAUCUCUCUAUCUGGCUGUCUAUGCUUAUCCGCCUCCUUUUCAUAUAACUUUUUGCCAAAGUCCAAACAUUCUCUCAUCAAGCUCUGUAUGGCGGUCAGUUCUUCAGCAAACUCUUCUGCUUCUGGUGCUGACAGGUUAUCAGUCUGCAAAGGAAAAACACUUGUCUGUAACUGGUGAAACUGGGCGACUGCUGAGGAUGUGUGAAGUGCAUUAUUAUACGCAAACUCCGCCAAGAGCAACUUGGACACCCAGUCGUCUUGCUUGUAGUUUACAUAUCACCUGAGGUACUGUUGCAACAUAGCAUUAGUCCUCUCCGACUCCCUGUUCAUCUCUGGGUGUCAUGUCGAAGUGAGGCACACCUCCACCUUGAGUAGUUGCAUAAGGAGUAGUUGCUUAUCCCACUUUCUCUUUCUUCUGCCAAUUCUAGUUGUUGUUGAUUUACCAUCCCGGCUAGCAGGUCAAUUUGAGCCUUUAGCCCCGCGUUUUGUUGAAAUAGUAACUGCAUCUGUCUAUCUGCCUGUUCUUGCAUCUCCUGGUCCGCUUUGGCUCCAGUGGUGGCCGUAGCUCCUUCUUCCGUCAACAGCCUCGCCUUCUUCUCUGGCCUUUGAUGUGUGGGAUUGGCAGACUGAGCACUCUGUAAUGAUCUCAGACAGUCAAACAGCUCCAAUAAGAAUUAACGAGCCUUUGGAAGAUUUAUGUAUGUUUAUUUACAGUUCAAAAGCACAGAGCGCGGCAAACACCUGCCAUUCUCCGGUAAGAAGUGCUCAGUUUGAGUUUCCGCUUCUCACAUAACACAAAGGGUGACAAGAUCUGGUCCUUCCCCUUUCCCCCUUACCUAGCAUUUUCACCCUCUCCUCCCUCCUGCUGUGAGAAGAAUAUGGGUGAAAAAAAGACAGUCACGGAACCAAGAAAUUACACAAAACAAAUGAAAUGCCGUGAAAAUCCCUGAAACAAGAAGCAAUUGACUAUAGAGUUAAAUUAAAUAACAAAAAUCAAAAAGUUUAAGGAAAAAAAUUAACUUAGAAUUAAACAAAGACUUAAUGAGAUGCCGGCUACAAAACUCGUUUCACUGAACUAAUCAGUUUCCUCAGAAGGAAAUAAAGAAAUUAUAAACCUUAAAUGAUUUUAAAUGAUUUCAAACAAACUCAAGAGCAGGGCUGAAACGCUUUCCUGAGUUUACAAAAAAGGUAUGAAAACCUCAAUGACGAGUUUUAAACAUAGCCCUAUUUAAGAGAACCAAGCAGUAGUAAUAAGAAAUUGAGGACUCGGCUGUAAAAAUUCUAGUAUUGCCUUUACAAAAAGGUUUUAAGAAAAACUUAAAAAGGAAUACGAGAUAAGCUGUUUAGGUUUCAAACAAACUCAAAAACAGGGCAGAAACUCAAAAACAGGGCUGAAAUGCUCCUGACUGCUGAUGUUAAAGACUGAUAUAGGGUGUUUCCAAUCACAGGUUUUUAUACUGUAAGGUGAAAGAAUUUUUAAAGGGACAGACCAUCUAGUUCAAACAAAGGGCGGGAUUACUAAGGUUUGUAAAGAAUAACAAGAAUAAUAUGAAAUAGAGUUGUAAGAAAUUAUUAUAAGAAGGAACUAAAGUCAAUAUAAGAAUUGAGACCUGACGGAAUUAAGGAACCAAAUCUAAAAAUCCAAUACAUUUCUUUCUGUAGUAAUUUCUUUCUUAAAAUAUCCAUAUUUAUCUCAGGAGUUUGAUGUUUAUAAAUGAUAAACCAUCUGAAAUCCGUUGCCUUAUGUUUAGCUUCUAAGAAGUGAGAUGUAUGAGGUGCUUCCAUCACUUUAUUAAGAAUACGAUUUUUGUGCUCUAGUAUUCUACUUUUAACCCUUCUUGUAGUACUACCCACAUACCAAAGGUUGCAAAUACAAUGAAUGGCAUAUACCACUCCUUGGGAAUUACAGUUGGUAAAUGUUUCCAGCUUAAUAAUGCUGUUGGUUCCAGGUACAGUGGUACCUCGGGUUACAUACACUUCAGGUUACGUACGCUUCAGGUUACAGACUCCGCUAACCCAGAAAUAGUACCUCAGGUUAAGAACUUUGCUUCAGGAUGAGAACAGAAAUUGUGCUCCAGCGGCACGGCAGCAGCAGGAGGCCCCAUUAGCUAAAGUGGUGCUUCAGGUUAAGAACAGUUUCAGGUUAAGAACGGACCUCCGGAACGAAUUAAGUACUUAACCUGAGAUAUCACUGUAUAAUAAAAUCUUUCGUCUCAAUUGUUAAACUACACGCUGCACAUCUUCCGCAUUUAAAAUGUCCUUUUAUAUCGCAACCUGGUUCUUAUCCAUUAUAUCCGCAUAGCUGGUUCUUAUCCAUUAUAUCCGCAUGUACAAGCAUGUCUUUAAAGUUUCUGGUUCUAUGGAAACUGAUCCGUGGAAGUAUACAGUGGUACCUCAGGUUAAGUACUUAAUUCAUUCCGGAGGUCCAUUCUUAACCUGAAACUGUUCUUAACCUGAAGUGCCACUUUAGCUAAUGGGGCCUCCUGCUGCUGCCGCGUCACCGGAGCAUGAUUUCUGUUCUCAUCCUGAAGCAAAGUUCUUAACCUGAAGCACUAUUUCUGGGUUAGCAUAGUCUGUAACCUGAAGCGUAUGUAACCUGAAGCAUAUGUAACCUGAGGUACCACUGUAGAUGGGCAACCUGGUACGUCUUGUAUCAAGUGCCAAUGUUUUCUGAUUGUCUUAACAAUUGAAUUGGAUAAUGGGGUAUAGUCUAGAGCCCAAGGUUAUCUUCGAGUUUAGAUCGUUUUUCCAGAAGAGUAUAUCGAGGCCUAUUGUAUGCUCUAAUCUGUGCUGUUUUUAUAACAUGUUGUGGAUAACCUCUACCAACAAAAUCACGUGCCAUUUGUGCACAAUUUUUUGUGUAAUCCUGAUGUGUGGUAGAAUUACACUUUAUUCUUAGGAAUUCACCUUAGGGUAAAUUCUGUUUGAGGUGAAGGGGGUGAAAUGAUUUAUAAUGAAGAUAUGACGGCCUAUCUGUUGGUUUCUUAAACGGCUGAACUGCCAAAUUAUUUGCCCCAUCACGAUAUACCAUUGUAUCCAAAAAUGUUAUUUGUUGGCUAUGAAAGUGAGUUGUAAACUUAAUAUUAGGAUGAAUGUUCUGACACCAUAUAAAAAAAUUAUUGAUAUACUAAUGUUCCUAAAUACUAAGAAAAGGUCAUCCCCAAAUCUCUUAUAUAUGAGUAUUUCAUCAAAAUAAGGAUUAUUUUCGGUUAUAAAGGAAAUCUUCCUCAAGUUUUCCCAUAAAUAAAUUAGCUAUACUGGGGGUACAUGCACUGCCCAUAGCAACUCCUCUAAUUUGUAAGUGGAAAUCCUCCUGAAAUUUAAAAAAAUUAUGUUCAAAAAUAAGAUCAACUAAUUCCAUGAGGAAAAAGGUAGGUGGAUGUGGAUCCUCUCUAUCUCAGAGAAUAUUAUCUAUAAUCAUACCGGCUUCCUCAAGGGGGAUAUUAGUAUAAAGGGAGGAUAUGUCCAUUGUAACUAAAAUGGCUGAUAUAGGGAUUUGAAAACCCUAAACUUUUUUAAUAAAGUCCCUAAUGUUAUGCAAGUAAGACCGUAAUUUAACUACAUGAGGAUUCAGAAAAGAAUCCAGGUACUUGGAUAGAGGUUCCAACAUAGAGUUAGUUCCUGAUACUAUAGGUCUACCAGGUGGCGGAAAUCCUUCUUUAUGGAUCUUGGGCAAAAUAUAAAAUAAAGGUAUACGCAGGUUGUUAUUGGAAAGAAACUGUUUUAAGGACAAAUCGAUGAAUCCCAUUAUUUCAGCCUCUUUAACCAUGAAGUUAAUCAUUCUAGCAAUAUGUUUAGACGGGUCAGAGGGAAGUUUCUUGUAGUAAGAGGUAUCAUUCAAUUGACGUAGUACUUCCUGACAAUAAUCAAUUUUAUUCAUAAUUAUAGCCCUACCUUUGUCCGCUGGUUUAACAACAAUACUUUUAUCAGACAAAAGGUUCUUUAAAGUUAUAUGUUCUUCUCUGGUUAAGUUAGACCAAUUGUAUUUAGAUUGUGCUUCCAGUCUAGCUAUAUCUCUUGUGACUACUUGUUCAAAAACUGUGAUAUGAGGAUCUACUAUAUCAGGGCAAAAAUUGGACUUAUUUCUAAACAUAUUAGUAGGCUUGGGGCAGGAAGUAUUGUGAAAUAAUUUCUUUAAUUUAAUAAGUCUUAUCAGUUUAAACAGAUCGACCCUGGUAUUAAAUGCAUUAUAUCGUGGUACAGGUACAAAGCCCAGUCCUAGGUUCAAUACUUUCUUUUCAAGAUUAUUUAAUGGACGAGUAGACAAAUUAACAAUUAAGUCCUUUGUCUGUUCCGUCUGGGAUGUAAUUGAGAAAAAUUCUGUUUAUAAGAGUUGUUCCUAGCUCUAUACCUAGAUCUCAAGGGGUAUCCAAAUGUAUUGUCUUCACCCAAAGUGGUAAUAGACUUGGAGCUCUAUCCUUCAGUGGUAUCCAAAUCUGACUGUGUUUCUACCGGUCUGGCCCAAGUAACCUUCUUUCUAUUAUUACCUGAGUCCAACCACCAAUUAUAAUCUCUACCUGUGUCAUAGUCCCUUUGGUCUCUGCCAGCUUCAUAAGAUUGAGAAGGAAGAGGGGCAGUUAACCCACUCUUGCCUUGCCUGAGGCUGCAAUCUCUCAUUCUCAGAGUUAGCCUCAUUCUCAGCAUCUGACCCUGCUAGAUCCCUGACAACAGCCUCUAGUAGCAGUUUCUUAUUGCUUCAAGAAUAAGUACAAUUUUUAACACACUUGAUAAUGUAGUUUCAAAAAAGAAUAGAAAUAGAAAAUUUAUGGGCUAUAUAAAAAUGCAACCAUACCAGAAUUAUAAAUGAAGCUGCAGGCAAAAGGAAACCACAGAGGAGAAAAUAGAAGUUUAAUUAACAGUAUAAUUGGGUCUCAGUUUCAGUCCAGUCCCUUAUUAAAAGGUCACUUCAGACUCUUAGCAAAAACAAAGGUCUGUGUGGUUAUUAUUGCAUACACUGUCAUAUACCAGGGGCAGACCUAAGGGUGAUUAGCAUGACAUGCAAAUUAAAAAUUAUGUGGCUUUGGCUGAUUUAAUAUGCUUUGGUUUUAGGUGAAAUAUCUGUAAUUGUCAUUGCUGGUAUAAAUGCAUUUUUGUCUUUAUCUAGCAUAUACACAACCUUCUCUCCUUUUUCCUUAGGGAAUUUUUAAAAAAUCAUUAUUAAUAUUAUUAGAUCUUCAGAAGUUUGUGGAGGACUGAAUAUGGAAUUGUACAGUUGGAAGAGACCUCAAGGGUCAUCUAGUCCAACCCCUUGAGAUGCAGGAAUAUUUUGCCCAUGUGCUUAAAUCCAGUACUGAGACACUGAACUUUUUAAAAAACAGUACUCAAGCAUUUAGUUUUCACUGGACUGUGCUCAUAAUUAACUUUGUGUGGGCUGACAUUUCUGCCAAGGGAGACAAAUCACACAAUAAAAUGAUCUUACUAUAACUAUCCUCAUCUAACACCUUGAGGCAGAAGGCUCAUAGAAGUGAACCAAAUGGCUCUGCUUAUAUAUUUAAUGCAUUUAUAGAAUGCCUCCAUGCAAGAACUUUCCACUGAAGUGGAGCAGGCUUCUGCAAACUGGCGCUGCCAAAGCCCCACCUCCAGAUUUCCUUGUGGGCUUUCUUCUGAGGGGUUACCUAGCCCUAGUAAGCUCCCCAGCAACUCUAAAUGAUUGAUCCUUCCCCGGAGGUCCGCGCUCCCAUUCCUACUCCAUUUGCAGCAAUCCCAGAAGUGAUCUGACACCCAUUAAUGUUAGCAAAAGAAUUGUCAGCAUGGUAGCCUCAUGGCUGCUUCAGUCUAAUUCCUGAUAUAAUCCCAUACCCUCCAAUAUUUCUCCAAUGAAAAGAGAGACAUCCCAUUCCAUAAUGAUAGUUUUAAAGGUAAAGGUAUAGGUACCCUUGACCAUUAGGUCCAGUCGCAGAUGACUCUGGGGUUGUGGUGCUCAUCUCGCUCUAUAGGCCGAGGGAGCCAGUGUUUGUCCACAGACAGCUUCCGGGUCAUGUGGCCAGCAUGACUAAGCCACUUCUGGCGAACCAGAUCAGCACACGGAAACGCCGUUUACCUUCCUGCCGGAGCAGUACCUAUUUAUCUACUUGCACUUGAUGUGCUUUCAAACUGCUAGGUGGGCAGGAGCUGUGACUGAGCAACGGGAGCUCACCCCGUUGCAGGGAUUCGAACCGCCGACCUUCUGAUCGGCAAGGCCUAGGCUCUGUGAUUUAGACCACAGAGCCACCCACGUCCCUUGAUAGUUUUACUAUUUACUAUUUUUACCCCACACUUCCAGCACAUAUAAAAACAUAAUAAAAAAUUAAACUUCCUGAAAUAUACUCAGAGUCGCAAAGUGAUUUCAUGCUCUUUAUUCAGCUCAUAGUGGUGAGGAGGAAUGAAUGAAUGUCCCCUCAAAGUAUCUGCUUUAUAUACAUUAUUUACACAAUGGGCUGCACAUGAUUGGCUAAUUCGGAAUUCUACUGUAAGCCAAUCAGGUUGUGGAUUCACUUCUAUCUGGAGCAUGAUUGGGUGGUUCCUGCCAACCAAUCAUACUGCUGCAUUGUUCUAGGACCAAUCAGACUGCUGCAGUUUCGAUCCUAUUCAACUCAGUACAUAACACCCCUCCCCUCUAAGUUCCAGUCCUGCCCGGGAGGUUGCAUUCAUAGUCCUCGAGGUACACCGGCAGCCUACGUGUGCGUUGCGGCCUGGGGUGUUCCCUGGUCCGGGGUUCAGGUUCUGGCUCAUGUUCCAAGGAUGCUGGCUGUGAUGGGGCUGAUUGGUCUGGCGCAACCAGCUCGCUCAGUCGUGGUUCUGGUUCCGGUGUCCUUUCGGCCUCGUGGGUCCUCUCUGUAUUUACUGAUUCUGCCUCUCCUGCUGGCCCCUCCUGCUCUAUGGGCCUCACUGCCCCACUGUUCCCUUGGGACUCCUCUGACCUGUCCUCCUCCUGGUUUUCUCCCGGGAAUCAUCGCCGUAUCUGGUCGCAGUGGCGGCGCCAGCAUUGCCCCCCAUCCAUUAGCACCUCGUACGACACGGGGCCAGUGACCCUGGUGACUGUGGCGGGUACCCAUGCUGGGCCUGCCCCAAAAUUCUUUGCGUACACUGGGUCCUGGGCCUCGAAGGUCAGGGGGUUCCUGCCUUCCCCCACCACUACCUCAUCCUGAGCUCUAUCGGGGUGAAGGCGGUCCAAUCUGAUUGCAAGGCGCCGACCCAUUAGUAGUUCAGUGGGGCUCCGGCCAGUCGUUGAGCUGGGGGUGCUGUGCUGUGCUAGAAGGAAUGCGGCAAGGCGGCACUCCCAAUCCCCUUGCGUCAUGCGGCGAAGGGUGUCCUUGGUGGUCCGCACCAUGCGUUCUGCUUGGCCAUUGGUGGCAGGGUGGAAUGGCGCCAAACGGAUGUGGCGGAUGGAGUUCUGCGCUGUGAAGGUUUGGAAUUCUCCUGACGUAAAUGCAGUCCCAUUGUCUGAGAUGAGAGUGUCAGGGAGCCCGUGGGUUGCAAACAGCCUGCGUAGUACCUGGAUGGCUGCAGACGUAGAAGUGGACAGUACCAGUGCGACUUCCAGCCAUUUGGUGUAGGAGUCCACCACUAUGAAGAAUGUUUUCCCCUGAAAGGGGCCAGCGAAGUCCGCAUGCAGGCGUAACCAUGGUGCUCGGGCGGAAUCCCAGGACUGGACUGGGGCCCUUGGGGGAUCUGGGUGGGAUUCUUGGCAGGCCUGGCAGUGUUUGACCCAGGCCUCUAUCUCUCCCUCGAUCCCCGGCCACCACACAUAACUCAUGGCAAGGGCCUUCAUUCUUACUACCCCUGGGUGUGUCUCGUGUAGGGCUGUGAAGACCCUUUUGCGGAGGGGCUGGGGAACAAUGACCCUGCUUCCCCAUAACAGGCACCCCUUGUGGGCCGACAGUUCAUGUUUGCGGGUUGUGUAGCCGGCAAAUUCUGGCCCGGGGUUGCUGCUGGGCCAUCCCCUCCACACCCAGUCCAGGAUCCGGGAGAUGACCCUAUCUUUCUUGGAAUGGUGUGCAACUUCUUGUGCCUGAAUGGGGCGGUCGGGAAGCAGCUCCAGGCUCAUAACCUCUUGUGCAGGUGCUGAGUCGGGGCAUGUUUCCAGUAGUGGUAGCCUGCUGAGGGCAUCCGCAUGGCCCAUCACCUUCCCCGGGUGGUGAAUCAGUGCAUACUGGUAGCUGGCAAGGAAAAUUGACCACCUGAGGACGCGAGGAGACAGCACUUGGGGGGGUCUGCUUUUCGGGGGCAAACAAGCCAUGCAACGGCUUGUGGUCAGUCACCACAGUGAAGGGCCGCCCAUACAAGAAAUCAUGGAAUUUUUUUACUCCCUUCACGAUUGCCAGACCCUCCUUGUUGAUUUGCGAGUAGUUCCGUUCGGUUGCGUUGAGUGUCUGGGAAAAGUAUGCCACCGGUACCUCUCUUCCAUCCGGGAGUUGGUGUCCCAGGACAGCGCCAAUGCCAUAGGGCGAGGCGUCGCAUGCUAGCACCACCGGCAGCCUCUCGUUGAAGUGUGCCAAGACCAAGUUUGAGACAAGCAAGUACUUGACUGCCUGGAAUGCGGCCUCCUGGCGCUGGCCCCAUACCCAAGGGGCCCGCUUGUCCAGGAGUCUGUGUAGGGGCUCCGUUACCGCUGCCUUGUGGGGAAGGAAUGGUAAAAGUUCAAUAGUCCCAAGACGGCCUGAAGUUCAGUCUUGCUCUUGGGUGCUGGGGCAUCACAAAUGGCCCGUACCUUGUCCCCAGUUGGGUGGACCCCUUCUGCGUCCACCAUAAAUCCCAGAAAGUCCACCUGAGGCACUCCUAGUAGACAUUUUUCCCGCUUCACCUGGAGGCCCGCCGUCUGGAAACGGUGCAGAACAGUGCGGAGGCGGUCCUCAAACUCCUCUGGUGUGGGCCCGGCAAUCAACACAUCAUCGAAGAAGGGGGUGACGCCAGGAAUCCCUUUCAGGAGAGAGUCUAUUAGAUUCUGGAAUAUGCCUGGUGCCACACUGACACCGAAUUGCAGCCGCUUUACCCUGAACGCUCCUCUGUGCGUCACAAUCGUCUGUGCCUCUGCUGUGGCCUCAUCUACUGGCAGCUGUUGAUACGCUUGGGCCAAGUCCAGCUUGCCAAAAAUUUCGACCCAGCCAGGGUGGCAAGGACAUGGCUGACCACUGGCACUGGGUAUGCAUGGGCCGUGAGGGCCUUGUUUAUGGUACAUUUGUAGUCUGCGCAGAUGCGGACCGAACCAUUAGGCUUGACGGGUGUGACGAUUGGGGUUUCCCAGGGGGCAUUAGGCACCGGCUCCAGCACUCCUUGCUCCACGAGCCGGUCCAAUUCCUCGUCUAUAUGGGUUUCAGGGCGAACGGGACCCGGCGGGCCUUGAGCCUGACCGGUCGUACUGUGGGGUCAAGCUGUAGAGCAAUGGGGGGGGCCCCAUAUACUGCACCAAUUUCCCAUCGAAAACUCCCGGAAAUUCCUUGCAUAUCGCGUCCAUGUCCACUUGUAAGCUAGUGUGGUUCACCCCGGUGAUGGCUAGCCCCAGUGGUCCAAACCAUGCCAAUCCCAGAAAGCUAAUGUAGGGGCCCUUGACCACAAGCAAGUCCAGUUGCUGCGUCCGCCCUCAGUAUUGCACCCUGAAGGUCCCCACCCCCAUUGUGGGGACCUUACGUUUCUGGAAGUCCCGGAGGGUGAAUGGGGCCGGCCUGAGUUUGGGACCCCCAGUAGGACACAGUUUCCUUAAGGUCCUUGCCGAGAUUAUGGAUAGAGUUGAACCCGUGUCAAUCUCCAUGCGGCAUGGGGCCCCCUCUAUCUGUACCUCUACAUAAAUUUUCUCUACGUUGGGGUGGGGCAACUGGUAUACCUGGAAGUCCGUGAGCUCCGUCGAGUUGCCUUGGUGCGUUGGACCCUGGGACCUGGGGUUCUUGGAUCGGUCAUCUGAUGCCUGGCGUCGGGUGAGCCGAGCUCGACACACCCGGGCGAUGUGUCCCAAUUUUCUGCACUGCCUGCACUCUGCGUUGCGGAAACGGCAGGUCCUCCUCUCGUGACUUUCCCCGCAGCUUGUGCAGUUCCCUCCUUCUCGUCGAGGCAGCUGUGGUAUGUGGGCUGCUUGAGUGUGCUGCUGUACUCGGUGCACCUCCUCCCUGUCGGAUCCUGAGUCGUCGGUGAGGUCUUCGUGGUGGACCCUUGGUUGGGACGGCAGGCUCGGCCGUGCCUCUUGCGUCGACCUCUCGGCAGCUUCCGUUGCCAGGGCCUCCUCCAGAGCGACCUGGAACAUUAGGUCCUUCUUAGCGUAGAGGCGUCGUUGCAGCUUCUCAUCCUUCAGGCCACCGACGAGGCGGUCACGAAGCAUGUUCUCCAGCUCUGAGAAGUUGCAGAACCGGGCGGCUUGGCGGAGAGAGGUCACAAACCCAGUUAUGGUUUUCCCAGGGGCUUGCCGCUUUGCGUAGAAGGCAUUUCGACGAGCCACCACUGAGGGCUGCGGCGAAAAGUGCCCCUUGAGCCGUUCCAUUAUUGUUUUGUAAGGAACAGUAGCAACGUCUUCAGGCACAAGGAGAGCCCGGGCGAUUUUGAUCGUCUCCUCUCCGCAGACGCUGAAGAAUAUCGCCCUCCUCUUGGCGUCUUCUUCAUCGGUGACCCCUUCGGCUUCUAGGAGGAAGGUGAAACAGGAGGCGUAUGCUUCCCAGUCUCCAGAUGCUGGGUUGAAUGGCGAGAAGCUGCUGUCGGUUGCCAUUCUGAGUUCCUUGUGUCCCGGAGCUGAAGCCUGGAUACACGGUGCAAGGCAGCGGUGUGGCAGGUGGUGGUGCUGUGGUGCUGUGUGUGGCAGUCAGCUCAGCGGGAUCCCACCUUUGUUGCCAGUGAAAUAUACUCAGAGGGGCAAAGUGAUUUCAUGCUCUUUAUUCAGCUCAUAGUGGUGAGGAGGAAUGAAUGAAUGUCCCCUCAAAGUAUCUGCUUUAUAUACAUUAUUUACACAAUGGGCUGCACAUGAUUGGCUAAUUCUGGAAUUCUACUGUAAGCCAAUCAGGUUGCGGAUUCACUUCUAUCUGGAGCAUGAUUGGGUGGUUCCUGCCAACCAAUCAUACUGCUGCAUUGUUCUAGGACCAAUCAGACUGCUGCAUUCUGAAUCCUAUUGUUCUAGGACCAAUCAGACUGCUGCAUUUUGUAUCCUAUUGUUCUAGGACCAAUCAGACUGCUGCAGUUUGGAUCCUAUUCAACUCAGUACAUAACACUUCCUUAUACAGGAUUGCCUUUAGAUGGCUCAGGGGUUGGAUAACUCCAUACCUUCCAACAUUUCUCCGAUGAAAAUAGGGACAUUCUAAGGAAAAGUGGGACAUUCCAGGAUCAAAUCAUAAAGUAGAAUGGCUUCUCUAAAUCAGGGACGUCUCUGGAAAAUAGACAUUUGGAGAGUCUGUAAUACCAGUUUCUCCAUUAUCUUACUUCUAAUUGCAACUUGUUUUAUUUGGUCUUUGUUAAGUGUGAAGGUAAAUCCCAAGUCAAGCUGUCUGCCCUUCAUGGGAACCACAGCCAGCGUUCUUGAAAUACCUCAUUAAUGUUUAUUAAAUUGUGUUCUCUGAGCUGAACUAAAUGGCACUCACUGGCUCUCUAUAAAUAGUACAACGGCUAAUUCUGAUCUUAGAGAGGGUAGUCACUGAUUGGCAAAUGAUAAAUAUCUCGUUUCCAAGUUCUUUGGAGUACUUGUGCUGGCAAAAAAAAAAAAAGAUUAUUUGAUUAGUUUCUUCUUGGCAGAUAAUAACUUCAGAAUUUAUUUGCAUGUUUAUAUUUGAUUGCCCAUUACAGUUUAGGACAUAAAAGUCAUUGCAAUAAUCACCGUUAUACUAAAUCUUUAAAGGCCUCCUCUACUCAUAUAAACAAUCCAAAAUCACUACAUUUUCACAUUGGUUUAUCCCAAUAAAAUAUACAAUGUUUUCACACAAAUAAUUUCAGUUUGAUAGCUAGAUUUUCCUGGUGUCCUCUGGGGGGAAACAUUGCUCAUACUGAAUUGCUCAGUAUGCAAGUGCAGGUUCAUAUAUGUAUCUCUGCAAUAUGUUUACUUAGAGGUAAAUCUGAUUGAGCUCAGUGAGUCUUAGCCCCUCAUGAGUGGGUGUGUAUAUUUGAAUGUGCUAUGUUAGUAGACUUUUUGGCACCUGAGGCAAGAAGCUCUGUGGGGAAGCCCUCCUUUCCCCAAGAAUCUACCCACUUGUGACAGACUUUGAGGUGGGAAGUUUGUCAGGAGGGAGCGUCAGAGAGUGAACCUAGGACCUACUAAAACCUGUUUUUUUAGGAACUAAGCCCCCAAACCUGAAGACUGACCACAAGGUUUUCUGUUGAAACUAUGUCUGUGCUUAAUGCUAUGUGUAGUCAUGAUCAUGUGUUCUUCAUGUGUAAUGGUGUACUGGAAUGGUAUAGGUAUUUGCAGGGCAUUUUUCAGCCAGAACUUGCCAGAACUCAGGCACUUCUCGGGUGGGUGCCUGCCAUUAUAAGAGAACAAGGGAGGCAUUCAUGGGGAAUGCCGUCACCUUUUUUCUUGAAAAAUAGCACUGAAUAUUCGCCAUGUGCUUCUCAGAGUUGCACGGAUUCUUUGGGUAUAAACCUAAGCUGCACCUUCUGCCAUGGCUGAAAAACACUCUGAGCUUUCCAUCCCAGUCUGUUCAUUGACUACGUUCACCCUGGUUCAAUGGGACUUUUGUCGACAACAUUAUUUUUCCAUGGGCUGGAAAUUUUCCCUUUAGUACUCUAAAUAAUCAAAAUCCUACCAUUUAUUAAUUUCUAGGGUUUGCGGGGUGGGUUGGGGGUGGUGGUCUAUACCAAGAAUCAUGUGAGCUCCACAUUGCCCCUGACCUGCCUGCCCAAUGCACUUAGCAUCGCACUCAGAUCUCAGGUUCAAAUCCCACCUUCCCCAUAAAGCUGAAAUGGCCACCUUGAGCCAAUUCAUAGAAUAGAAUCAUAGAAUCAUAGAGUUGGAAGAGACCACAAGGGCCAUCGAGUCCAACCCCCUGCCAAGCAGGAAACACCAUCAGAGCACUCCUGACAUAUGGUUGUCAAGCCUCUGCUUAAAGACCUCCAAAGAAGGAGACUCCACCACACUCCUUGGCAGCAAAUUCCACUGUCGAACAGCUCUUACUGUCAGGAAGUUACAACCUCUCAACCCACCCUGCCUCACAGGAUCGUUGGUAGCAAAAAAUGUGCAGGGAAAGGAAUCAUGUACAACACCCUUAUCUCCAAAAGAUAAAUGGGAUGAUUGCAUUACAAUAUACAGUUCAAAAUAAGCCACCCUACCCUAGUAUGCAAAAUUACCACCCUUGCAUUGCAUGGUGUCAUGAAGUGUGAACACAUCAGUAAACAUACACACAGAAAUAUGAUGCAUCCAAUGCCCAGUCAUGAGAUUAAUUUUACAGAGUCCCUGGGAAGACAGCUAGGUCUGCAACCCCAUCCAGACUCAGCUGUGAGUAAAGCCAAUUGAACUUAGUGAGACUGACUUCUGAGUAAGCAUGCAUAGGCUGUUGCUGUGAAUCCUAAAGACUGAUGGACAUGAAUCAACUAAGCAGAACAACCACAGAAAUUAAAAGUUAAAAAAUAGUACCAAGCAACCAGGAACAAUUUUUUAAAAAUGUAUCUGCUACAAACACUCCAUGUCAGGGAAUGGCUGGAUGAGGAAGAGUGGUGGCAGCCGGUGGACCAGGAGACACCUGAGGGGGAAGGGGACCAGGAGGAAGGAGCCAGGGAGGAAUCAUCAUCCGAGAGGGAGGAGGAAGCCACAGACACUGAAAGAGAAGGAGCAGGGGAGAUUUCUCCUGCCUGCAGUAUAGUCCUGAUUCAGCUCCUUCCCCUUCCCACUUUCAGUGCAGGAAAGAAGAGUCGAGAAAAGGCUAUGGUAUGGCUUGGUCUCUCCCACAAACGUGAGACAACUCUGGCUGUUAAUUAUUUCAGAUUUUUGCUAAAACAACAAACAAGGACAGAGCUCCUCUACUCAUCGUCUUUGCCAGAAGAUGAGAGUUGCCCAGACUGAGCUCCUCCCCCUUCCCCAGAACAGAACCACCCACCUUUUCUUCUGGUAUCUUUCACGCUUCUCAACCACUUUUGAGGUCCUACACGUCUGACUCACUAUUGGAGCUCUCACACAGCUGUCUGUCACUCUGGCCCUGUUUUUCUUCUCCCCUUUGUUCAGAGCUCAGAUUACAACUGCUCUCCCCCUCCUCUCUGCCUUCCGCUGUUAACUGUUCUCUCUGUAUGCCUGCUGCUUCUUCUUCUCCUGUCAGCAUCUGAGCUUUGCUGACAUCACCCUCUCCUCUAAGCCCCUCUUCCUCCUCCUCCUCGGCGCCACUGCCAAUUACAGAGGGCUCUCUUGAUGCCAGUUCCCACCAUGCUUCACUCUCCUCAGCUUCUUCGUCGCUGAGCUCGAUCUCCUCCAUCCACCAUCGGGAUUUGGGUUUGCGAGGAUACCUAUGGUGGAACUGUCUCUGCAAGUCUGGGGCAUGAAAAAUCCUGACCUCAUACCCAGGAGUUUUCCUCAGGACCAUAACCCUUCAAGGACACUAAAUACUGCAACUGCCUUCUACACACUCUUGAAUCCAAGAUUUGUUGGACCUCAGAGUCCUCUUGAUCUUCUACCACAACUGGGGGAGGAGGUGCCUGCUUAGGUUCCUGAUAGUGGUGAGCAGGAACGUAUGGUGAUAGGAGAGCCCUAUGGAAUACAGGAUGUAUUCUCAUUGAGUCAGGCAGUUUGAAUGUUACUAGAUUUAUCUGCUCUACCACUUCAAAUGGUCCCAACCGCCAUGCUUCUAACUUCCUGCACCUCCCUUUAGCUGGUAAGUCCUUUGCUGACAACCACAUCUUAUCCCCCACCUUGAUCUCCUCUCCCUGCCAUCUAUGCUCACUGGCACUUCUCUUGUACGUGGUUUUAGCCGCUUCCAGGUUCUCUCUCAGUAGUUCUUGUAUUGCCUGCAUCUCUCCCACCAACUGCUCCGCUGCUGGCACCGACAAGGUGCUCCACGGCUCCAGAAACGCUCUUGGAUGUCUUCCGUAGUUGGCUAGGAAUGGUGUAUGUUGGGUGGACGCAUGCACCGCGUUGUUAUACGCGAACUCAGUUGGUCCCAGUUUGUCCACCCAGUCCUCUUGCUGAUAGUUCACAUAGCAACUCAGAUAUUGCUGUAAUGUCGCAUUGGUUCUCUCUGACUCUCCGUUGGUUUGUGGGUGUCUUGCAGAGGUCAGGCACACCUCUACCUCCAAAAGCUGCAUCAAUUUCCUCCAAAAUCGUGAUGUAAACUGUCUCCCUCUAUCCGAAAUCAAUCGCAACGGCAAGCCGUGCAGCUUGAACACAUGAUCAACAAACAUCUGGGCUGCUUCCUGUGCCGAUGGCAACUUUGGGCAUGGCACAAAGUGCGCCAUUUUCAUGAACAAGUCCACCACUACCCAGACUACUGUCUGUUUCUGCAAGGCUGGCAAGUCCGUAAUAAAGUCCAUCACAAUCUCCUCCCAAGGUCCUUGCAGAGUUGGAAGCAGCUGUAACAGUCUGUGGGCGCUUCCCUAGGCAUUUUCACUUGUUGACAAGUGUCACAUGCCCUCACAUAGUCCUUUGCUUCUUCCCUCAUUCUUGGCCACCAAAACCAUCUCUUGAGUUGAUCUACGGUCUUGUAAUGUCCAAAAUGGCCCAUGGUUGAGUUGUUGUGACACUGCCGCAUUACUCUUGCCUGUGAGUCUGCUUCUGGCACAUAGAGUGCCUUGCCCUUGAACAACAGACUUCCCUUUUCAUGGAAACUCUCUGCGUUGUUCUCUCCUCUCUGUACCACUGCCAGCUUCUGCAGCGCAAAUUCAUCUCUUUCUGUUUGUUGUUUAAAGUCUUCUACUCUGACAACAGGUGCCGCUGCCAGUUGCAACUGUUCUGGUUUCAGAAAGUGUCUCAACUCUCGUUUUUGUUCUCCUUCCAAGUGUUCCAGUUUCCAAGACAAGGCGUCUGCCCUUUGGUUUAGAUGCCCUGGCACACGGUAUGCAGAAGUUGAAACCAGCAAAAAACUGUGCCCAUCUGAUUUGUCUAUGGUUUAGUUGUCUCACCGUUUGCCAGUAUUCCAAGUUCUUGUGGUCCGUGCGCACCUCAACUUGGUGCUGUGCCCCCUCUAGGAAAUGUCGCCAGGCAGCUGCAUUCCCCAAGUUCAGCACUUGGCUUUCCAUCACGUUCUCUGUUGGCCUCCGGCAUGAGAGAAGUUCAGUCUGGGCAAUCUGUUAUGGCUUGGUCUCUCCCACAAACGUGAGACAACUCUGGCUGUUAAUUAUUUCAGAUUUAUUGCUAAAACAACAAACAAGGACAGAGCUCCUCUACUCAUCCUCCUCCUCAGAAGAUGGAGUUGCAGCACUGAAGCCCCCACCUUCUCUUCCGGUAUCUUUCGCGCAUCUUGGCCACUUUUGAGAUCCUACGAGAUUUGGGAGAGAAUGCUUCCUGCAUUCCAAUGUCUGACUCACUAUUGGAGUUCUCACACAGCUGCCUGUCACUCUGGCCCUGUUUUUCUUCUCCCCUUUGUUCAGAGCUCAGAUUACAACUGCUCUCCCCCUACUCUCUGCCUUCUGCUGUUAACUGUUCUCUCUGUAUGCCUGCUUCUUCUUCUCUUGUCAGCAUCUGAGCUUCGCUGACAGGCUAGAACAAUUAAGAAAAGCCGAGUCACAGUGAGCAAAGCACGGAGGGAGGUAUAAACAAGGGGGAAGAGAGGAUGGAACUUUAGCUUCUGCAACUGACUUGCUUAGCUGAUGGAUGUGCCAUGAGCUGUCUCCUUGGUUACUGGGCAAUAAAGUUAAUUACUGUCAAGCCGUGCCUGUUUCUGCUUACAGCGUUGAACCACAGAAGGAUGGGCUUUUCUGGCAGCUUGACACUCCACCACAAUGUCUUCUCUUCAGAUUAAAUACAAAUACUCCAUAGAAUUAUAGAAUUGUAGAGUUGGAAGAUUCCUCAAGGAUCAUCUAGUCCAACCCCCUACAAUGCAAUGCAGGAAUCGCAGCUUAAAAGCAUCCUUGGCAGAUGGCCAUCCAUCCUUCCAAAAAACCUCCAGAGAAGGAGAGUUUACCACUUCCCAAGGGUAGUGUCAAAAAGCUCUUAUUGUCAGAAAGUUAUUCCUGGUUGGUAGUUGUGCCCACCCUGUGGAACACCCUACUGUCACAUGUCAAAGAGUUAAACAAUUAUAUGACAUUUGUAGACAUCUAAUGGCAGCCCCGUUUCAGGAAGCUUUUAAUGAUUGAUGUUUUCUUUUGUCCCUUUAUAUUUUGUUGGCAUAACCCAGCCAGAUGGGUGGGGUAUAAAAAUGUUGUUGUUGUUGUUGUUAAUAAUUAUCACCACCACCAUUUCCUUUCUUAUAAAUUUAAGCCAUUGGUUUAGGUCCUACAUUAUACUGAUCUGGAUAUUAGGCUGUUAGUUGUUUGCAUCUAUCCAUGUGACAUCCCUUUAGAGAUUGGAAUAUGGCUAUCAUAUCUCCUCUCAGUAUCCUCCUUUUCUGGCUAAAUAUACCCAACUCAAAUAUUCCUCAUAAACCUAUGUUCCCUGACCUUUGAUCAUAUUGGCUGCCCUACUCUGCACACAUUAACAUUCUCCUUAAAUUGUGGUGCCCAGAACUUGACACAGUAUUCCAGGUGUGGUCUACUAUUGUUUCCCUUGAUCUGAACACAAUAUUUCUGUUGAUGCAGCCUAGAAUACCAUUAGUUGUUGUUGUUUUUUGCUGCUGCAUCACACUGUUGACUCAUGUUAAGCUUGUAGCCUACUAAGACCUCUAGAUCCUUUUCACAUGUACUACUGAGAAGCUAGGUGUCCAGCAUCUCAGAUUCGUGCAACUGGUUUUUCCUGCCUAAGUGCAGAACAUUACAUUUCCUCACAUUGCAAUUCAUUCUUGGCCCACUUCUCCAAUAUGUUAACGUCAUCUUGAAUUCUGUCUUCUGUAGCAUUAGCUACUCCUCCCAGUUUCCUGUCAUCUGUAAAUCUGAUGAAUAUCCCCUCAAUUCCUUCACUGAACAACAACCACCCCAGGAAAGAACCCUGCGACACCCCACUUAUCACUUUUUUCCAGGAUGAUGACCAAUCAUUAGUUAGCACUCUUUUAGUUGGGUCAGUCAACCACCUAACAGUGACCACACCCAGCCCACAUCUUACCAGCUUCUCUGCAAUAAUAUAAUGGGGAGGAGGCUUCAUCAAAAGCCUUACUAAAAUCAAGAUGCACUAUGUCCACAGCAUUCCCCAUAUCCACCAAGCUUGUAUUGUAACUCCAUUAAAAAAAGAAAUGAGCUUUAUGUGGCAUGCAGAAAACCCAUGCUAGGUCUUAGUAAGCACAGCAUCCUUUUCUAAGUGCUUACAGACAUAUCAUUUAAUUAUUUGUUCUAGAACCUUUUCUGGUGAUUGGUUGGUAGAUACUUGGGUUUUCUCUCUCCUCCUGCUUUUGAAGAUGGGGACAACAUUUGUUCACUUCCAGUCUGCAGGGACCUCACCUGUUCUCCAAGAAUUCUCAAAGAUUAUAAACAGAGACUCCGGGAUUACAUCUGCAAGCUCCUUUAGUACUCUUGCAUGCAUCUCAUCAGGCUCUGGAGAUUUGAAUUCAUUUAAAGCAGCUAGGUCAAGAAAACCUCCAGCAAAAGGAAUGGCAGACAGACCAUUUCUCUAUCAGUUCCAGUGAUAGAAUAUAAUUUUGUGGUGAUUGACAAUAGUCAGACAGAACAUCUUACUAUUAAAUCACUCUGGAAGAUAAGUGCGGUCAAAUUGGAGUAACCUCAAAGGCUUUGAUCAAGGCUGUUCUCUGCUGUCUGCACCUGGGGGCUUGUAUUGGGGCUAGAACAAGAUGGCAAGCUGACAUCAUGCCCAAAUGCCACGUAACAGCCUUUUGUAGGUAAUAAGAUUCGUGCCCUCUCUUUCUUAAAUACAUCUUGGACAAGAAAAGCUGUAAAUUAGUGGGAUGUCUCUAUCUGCUAAUGAAAAUUUACAAUAAGAAAACUUGUAAGAGCUGCUUUCAAUGAAUUGAAAAUAAAUUGGCCAUUAAUCCAGCCAUGGGAAAAUAAUUUCCUGUGAGAUAAGACUUACUGUGACUGUAACCUUAAGGUGGAAAUAUUAAGAUAGUCUGAGUUGCUAAUAACAUCAGUAACAUCAAAAGCAUCCAGUAUGACAAAGGUAUCAUUGGAUCCCCCAGUGACUGUUGGUAUUGUUCAAGAGUUGGUGGCCGAUUCUUUCCCGGUUUAGUUGGCCCUCUUAAGAUUUAUUUUAAAUGCAGAUGAAAUAGUUUUUACACAUUCUUUUACACAUGUAGGGCUGAAAAGGAAAUUGUGUUGGAUUGAUGAAUGUUGUACAAAACGAAAAUCUAAGGAUCAGUUACUCAGAAACCAGUGUUAUGGCAUUUGAAAGCAUCAGAAACUCAUAUUGAUUCUGGGUCUUUUCUUUGCUGGGCUUUAUAGCACCUUCAGUGUUUUUUGUAUGCAAACAUGAUUUGCUGUAUAUUUAUGAGAUUGUCUGAAUUUUUGCCAAGGCCAUAAGCAAUAAAGGAUUGACCUAAAAGCGAAGGGAAAAAAAACAGGUAAAAUGUUUUUUAAAUGGGCUUGCAACACAGAUUAUACUGCAGAACCUUUUGUCUAUUUGGAAUACAAGAAGUGUGGGAUGUGCAAAAUUUGGUAUGCUUUUGGCUCAUUUAUACCAUCUGUAUAUACAGAACUCUGGCUGGACUGGUGAGUGGGAGAAAGACUUAGUUAAUUCAAUGAUGUCAUUGAAUCUCUUUCAGCCAGUUUUUUAAAAAUGGAGUUAAACACAAGGAACUUCAGAAGUGACUGAAACGGAGCAAUGCAGUUAGUUGAUACUAGAUGUUACAUGAUUAAUAGUGCACCACACUCAAAGGGACAGGGGUGGCACUGCGGUUUAAACCACUGAGCCUCUUGGGCGUGCCAACUGGAAGGUGAGCUCCUGUUGCUCUGUCCCUGCUCCUGCCAACCUAGCAGUUCAAAAGCAAGUCAGUGCAAGUAGAUAAAUAGGUACUGCUGUGGCAGGACAGUAAACGGCGUUUCUGUGCGCUCUGGUUUUCGCCAUGGUAUCCUGUUGCGCUAGAAGAGGUUUAGUCCUGCUGGCCACAUGAACCAGAAAAGCUGUCUGUGGACAAAUGCCGUCUCCCUCGGCCUGAAAGCGAGAUGAGCGCCGCAACCCCAUAGUUGCCUUUGACUGGACUUAACUGUCCAGGGGUCCUUUACCUUUUACCUUUACCUGCACCACACUCACACAGGAAUUUGGAGAACAUUGAGCUUAUUUUCAGUUUUUGCAUUUGGUGCAUUUAUAUACCACCUUUCUUCCUAGGAGCACAAGGUGGUGCACGCAGUUUUCCUCCUCUCCAUUUUAUCUUCCAAACAACCCUGUGAGGUUGCUUAGGUUACCUGACCUGUGGCACUUUCCCCAGACCACCCCCACUCUUGUCAAAAAGAAUUCACCCACCCACAGGGGCUACCCUGUGCAUGUCAACCUGCCAGGCCAGACAGAGCCUAUAGCAAAGUAUGAGUUUUAUUGAGAGCCUGGUGAACAAUCAUACAUAACAUGGCAGCUUCAGAAACAUAUUCAAGUUCCACCACAAGUUUGCCUCACACGCAGAAUCCGAUGUAGCUCUGUGUGGAAUGACAUUGCUUUUCAUAGUCACCAGCCUACUGCACAGGGUUACAACAUUUAGUGGACCAAUGUGUGGGAGAAGUGCUCUGAAGAUUGCACUGUUAAUUGCAUUUUACUGGUCUUUUUAUUAGAUUAAUAAGAAAAUGCCCACCAAAUAGGACAUGCAUAAAGGCCCUGGCAGGAUCCACCACUAACCUCUUCCCUGCAUUUGGCUUCAUCUGGCACUCAAAUAUGAUGAGGAAUGGGCAGCUGAGUCAGGGAGCUGCCAUUUUAAUCUUUUCAAUGCUCCCAACACAGCUCUGCUCCCAGUUGGCACCACUUCAAUUUCCCACACUGCCCUAGAAUUAAACACCGUUAUUGUGAGAGAUUUAAAUGGUGGCUCCAUCAGGGGAUGCUGCCUGUUCCCAAGGAAGGAGCUUUGCUGAGGUCCCCCUUAAACCUGUGUGGAUGUGGCAGCAGAAACAUGCAAAUACUGCUUUAGUGGAAGGUGUCAAUGUGCCACUCUCAGCUUCACCUUUCUCUCCUUUAAAUCUCCCCCCUCCCUUUGCCUAGGAACCUCUGACACUGCUAACUCUCAGGCCCAGGCCUCCCCCUCUUCCCAUUUUAGCUGUAGCACAUCUUGCGUUUCAUUUUCCAGAAGGAAAAAGCUGAGCCUUUGUGACAUCAGUAGUCAUGACAGCAAUCCUCACACUUCUGAGGCUUCUUACCUCACCCCUGGCAUGGGUUGCUAAGCAUGCAUAUUUGUUGUGAGUUAAGGAUAGGGACUGGUAUAAUGACUGGUGACAUCCCAAACCCAAUACCUUCUCCUCCAAAGCAGGGGAAACCAGUCCUAUUCCCCAUGGCAGGUCCUAGAGGGAGGCAUUUGGGUGAGUUCUCUUGCAGAUGAAAAGCUGCAGGUUCUCAUACUCAACUCAGCUCCCUUCCCUUCCUGCUCAGGUUCAGAGUGGUAGCUCUGCUUGCACAAUGGAAUCAGUUCCAAGGAAAAGGCGGACAAACUCACUUGUGCACAGUUGAGCAUAGUAGUUUAAUUUACUGAAAUAAGAAUGUUUUAAUGUAUAAUGCUGCGUGUUUAAUGAAAGCACAUUGAGCUUUAAUUGGUAAAUAGCUGAUUCAAGUAUGUUCUCCAGUAGUUCUCUUCUGGUUGGUUAACACAUGAGAGGUACCCAUUUAUGGUCUCUAUUUAGUGAAGGAGUGACCAGCAGGAAUCUCCAUUAACACUGAGCAGUACUAGAAUCUCACUGAACGCUGCAGGGGGAGCAGUGUGAAUGCAAGCGCUCUCUCUAAGUGAAUGAGGGAGAAAGCUGAGCAGGAACUGGUUGUCCUCUCCGAAAGAGAAGCAGAGAGAUGACUGUAAGAGACAGCAACCUCUUCAAGCAUCUGCAAGGCCUAGAGGAAAGGGCAGGCCCAGGACAGGCUGGACAGAGGAAGAGACACGGAUUGAUCGAUUUAACUGCAAGAAUCUGUCAUAAACCUAAAUGAAGUUGAGCCUAGGCUUUGACUGUUUUCUAAACAGAUCUUUUAUCAUCUGUUCUGAAGCCUUUGAAUAUUUAACAAGUGUUUGGACAAUUUUUUAAUUCCUGAAACAAGUCAGUCUUCCUCAUGUUUCAGAUUCAUAGUGGCACAUUAUUGCUACUCUCCAACAUGCACUUGCAAGAAUAAGGAACAUGAGUAUACAGAUGAUGACUUAGAUGGUCUGGGGUUCAAGCUGCGGCAACUGCAGGUGGUGGGGGAGGGAUUUAAAGGUAGGAAGAGUAGGAAGCACCAUUGCUUGUUGUGGGAUAACCAGCUGCAUAUAACCAACAUGCUUAAAUCUAAUUAAUCAUAGAAUCAUAGAAUAGAAUCAUAGAUUUGGAAGAGACCACAAGGGCCAUCGAGUCCAACCCCCUGCCAAGCAGGAAACACCACCAGAGCACUCCUGACAUAUGGUUGUCAAGCCUCUGCUUAAAGACCUCCAAAGAAGGAGACUCCACCACACUCCUUGGCAGCCAAUUCCACUGUCGAACAGCUCUUACUGUCAGGAAGUGCUUCCUAAUGUUUAGGUGGAAUCUUCUUUCUUGUAGUUUGGAUCCACUGCUCCGUGUCCACUUCUCUGGAGCAGCAGAAAACAACCUUUCUCCCUCCUCUAUAUGACAUCCUUUUAUAUAUUUGAACAUGGCUAUCAUAUCACCCCUUAACCUCCUCUUCUCCAGGCUAAACAUGCCCAGCUCCCUUAGCCGUUCCUCAUAAGGCAUCGUUUCCAGGCCUUUGACCAUUUUGGUUGCCCUCCUCUGGACACGUUCCAGUUUGUCAGUGUCCUUCUUGAACUGUGGUGCCCAGAACUGGACACAGUACUCCAGGUGAGGUCUGACCAGAGCAGAAUACAGUGGCACUAUUACUUCCCUUGAUCUAGAUGCUAUACUCCUAUUGAUGCAGCCCAGAAUUGCAUUGGCUUUUUUAGCUGCCACGUCACACUGUUGGCUCAUGUCAAGUUUGUGGUCAACCAAGACUCCUAGAUCCUUUUCACAUGUACUGCUCUCAAGUCAGGUGUCCACCAUCUUGUAUUUGUGCCUCUCAUUUUUUUUGCCCAAGUGCAAUACUUUACAUUUCUCCCUGUUAAAGUUCAUCUUGUUUGUUUUGGCCCAGUUCUCUAAUCUGUCAAGGUCGUUUUGAAGUGUGAUCCUGUCCUCUGGGGUGUUAGCCACCCCUCUCAGUUUGGUGUCAUCUGCAAAUUUGAUCAGGAUGCCCUUGAGUCCAUCAUCCAAGUCGUUGAUAAAGAUGUUGAAUAAGACCGGGCCCAAGACAGAACCCUGUGGAACCCCACUAGUCACUCUUCUCCAGGAUGAAGCGGAACCAUUGAUGAGCACCCUUUGGCUUCGGUCAGUCAGCCAGUUACAAAUCCACUGAGUGGUAGCAUAGUCAAGACUGCAUUUUACCAGCUUCUUUACAAGAAUAUCAUGGGGCACCUUGUCAAAUGCCUUGCUGAAAUCAAGGUAGGCUACAUCCUCUGCGUUCCCUUCAUCUACCAGGCUUCUAAUUCUGUCAAAAAAACGAGAUCAGGUUAGUCUGACAUGACUUAUUUUUCAGAAAUCCAUGCUGACUAUUGGUGAUCACAGCAUUCCUUUCUAGGUGCUCACAGACUGUUUGCUUAAUGAUCUGCUCCAGAAUCUUCCCUGGUAUUGAUGUCAGACUGACUGGGCGAUAAUUAUUUGGGUCCUCUCUUUUCCCCUUUUUGAAAAUAGGGAAAACAUUUGCCUUCCUCCAGUCUGCCGGGACUUCGCCUGUUCUCCAGGAAUUCUCAAAGAUGACUGGCAGUGGUUCUGAGAUCACAUCUGCCAGUUCUUUUAAUACUCUUGGAUGCAGUUCGUCUGGCCCUGGAGACUUGAAUACAUCUAAACUAGCCAAGUAUUCUUGUACUAUCUCCCUAGUUAUUCUGGGCUGUGUUUCCUCUGCUGAAUCAUUUGCUCCAAAUUCUUCAGGUCGGGCAUUGUUUUCUUUAUCGGAGAAGACUGAGGCAAAGAAGGCAUUGAGGAGUUCAGCCCUUUCUGUGUCCCCUGUUUGCAUUUCACCAUCUUCUCCUCUGAGUGACCCCACUAUUUCUUUGUUCUUCCUUUUGCUACGGACAUACCCAUAAAAGCCUUUUUUGUUGCUUUUAACCUCUCUAGCAAGCCUGAGUUCAUUCUGUGCUUUAGCUUUUCUGACUUUGUGUCUACAUGUGCUGGCUAUUUGUUUGAAUUCCUCUUUGGUGGUUUCCCCUUUUCCAUUUUUGUACACAUCCUUUUUAAUCUUAACUCAGUUAAAAGUUCUUUAGAUAGCCACCCAUGCUUCUUUAGGCACCUUCCAUGUUUCCGUCUCAUUGGUAUUGCCUGAAGUUGUGCUUUUACUAUCUCCCUCUUAACAAACUCCCAGCCAUCAUGAACUCCCUUUCCUUUUAGUAUUACUGUCCAUGGGAUCUCACCCAGCACUUCCCUAAGUUUUAUGAAGUCGGCUUUCUUAAAGUCAAGAAAUUGAGUCCUAGUAUGCUUGGCUGCUCCUUUCCGCUGUAUAGUAAACUUCAGAAGAGCAUGAUCACUCGCGCCAAUGAUUCUUCCACUUCUACCCCACUAACCAGGUCAUCAACAUUGGUUAGGACCAGAUCUAAAAUGGCUGUUCCUCUUGUUGCUUCUCCCACUUUCUGGACAAUGAAGUUGUCUGCAAGGCCAGUGAGGAAUCUGUUUGACCUUAUGCUCUUGGCUGAGUUUGACAUCCAACAAAUAUCCGGGUAAUUGAAGUCCCCCAUUACUACUUUCUCCCUUCCUUUUGCAUGCUUGGCCAUCUGUUCCAGGAAGGUAUCAUCUAUGUCCUCCGUUUGGCUUGGGGAUCUAUAGUAAACUCCCACAAUGAGGUCUCUGUUAUUCUUCUCUCCCUUAAUUCUGACCCAAAUGCUCUCACUUUGGCUUUGAGGUUCUAAAUCUUGGAUCUCUUCACAGGUAUACACAUCCCUGACAUAUAACGCCACUCCUCCUCCUUUCUUGUCUGGUCUGUUUCUCUGAAAUAGAUUGUAUCCCUCCAUUAUUACAUUCCAAUCGUGGGACUUAUCCCACCAGGUUUCAGUGAUGCCUAUUAUGUCAUAUUUAGUUUGCUGUACCAAGAGCUCAAGCUCAUCUUGUUUAUUUCCCAUGCUUUGUGCAUUAGUGUACAGACAUUGAAGUCCAUUAAUCAUUCCCCGUGUCUCUUAUUUAAGGAUUUUUUCCUCCCACCACUAGGUCUGCGUGCUGUUUGCUCCAUUUGGUCUAUGACAUUUGGAUGAUCAUCUUCAUCAAUUGAUAGACUCCUACCUUCAGGAGCACUGUCUCCCUCCCCCACAUUAGUCAGUUUAAAGCCCUCCUGAUGAGGUUUCUGAGAUUUUUGGCAAAAACAUUCCUCCCAACUGUUGUGAGGUGCAGCCCAU